CUCAGCUUUCAGACAGAUCACAUUCCUUCUUCCCUUUCCUCCCGAUUCUCUCUGUUCAUUGGAAGCGUUUCGUUUCCUUCCGAUUUCUCUCAAAUUCAAUCGACUGCUUCGACUUUGCUUCUCCGCUCGCUUCUUUGGUAAGGAUCUCCACUGCCGCUUUCUUUUUUUUUUUUUUCCAUUAAAGAUUCAUAUUGCAAAUCUUCUUCUUUAAUUUUUUCAAAGAACUCUUUAAUGUUUGUGGUUCUCUUAAUAUUCGUGAUUCUUUUACGAGAUAAAACAUAAAAUCAUGUUCUCUGAGUCAGAUCUGGAAUCCACCGUAACACUCAUUUAGGGAAAAGUCACCAAAAUCUAAGAUCCGUGUAACCCUUUUUCGGUAACAAACGACCAAUAAAAAAUAUUAAAAAAGAAACCCAGAAAAUCCUCUGUGAAAAUAAAAAAACGAAAAGAGAUCAAAACCCUAGAUCUGGAAAUAAGAAUGAUUACUUCUCCCUGGCUUUUCUGUAAUUAGGUUGUGUGGAGUUUUGCAUUUGAGAAUCUUGAAAUGAAUCUGUAAAAUGCAAUCUUUAUAAUGUUAUUAAGGUUUGAGCUCACCAUUACAACGUAAUGGCCUCAAACCCCAUGGGGGAGUCCUAAUCAUAAUGUAUCUUUGUUUUUUAACUGGGUACAAAUUGCAAUGGUGCUGGUUCUGCUAUUUGGGGUUUGAGGACUAAUGGAUUGUAUUAUUACGGGUUCUCUGCGUAUUAUUAUGUUUGUUAUUUCAAUUAUUCGGGGCUUAUAGUUGAAAUUCCAAUGUAUAUUAUUUUUAUUGGAUGAGAAGCUUAUUGGGUUCUAUUAUUAUUAUAUAUAUUAUAUAUUUUUUCAAUUAGUUGUACUCAAAUUAUGGGUUUUGGAUCUUGUGGUUGUAUUUCAUAUUACAAUAUGUAUGUAAUAUUUGUAGGUGUCAAGUCUGUUUAUUUAUCUUAUAAUAUUGUUAUUAAGUUUUGUAAUAUUUUUUACAGGUUGUAUAUAAUAUUUAUAAGUUUUGAGCCUAUUGGAUUGUAUUUUUAUUAUUUUCGUCAUGAUAUUACCCACAUUAUUGUAUUUGAAUAAUGGAUUUCGGAUCAUUUGGUUGUAUUCCGUAUUACAAUAUAAAUGUAAUAUUCAUAGGUAUCAAGCCUAUUGAAUUAUUUUAAUAUUGUUACGAAGUUUUGUUAUAUUUUUACGGUUGUAUGUAAUAGUUAUAAAUUUCGAGCCUAUUUCGUGUAAUAUUAUUAUUAUCACGAUGAUAUGACACACAAUAUUGAUUUUGAAUUAUGGGUUUCAAAUAUUUUAGUUUCAUUCAACAAUAUAAUGAAUGUAACGAAGCCCAUUGACUUGUAUUUUUUGUCUAUAUAAUUAAACUAUAUUCUUAUUAUUAUGAAGUUUAUUAACUUUUAUGGGUUUUAUAAGUUGCUAAACUCAGUUGUAUUAUUAUUAUUAUUAACGAGCACAAAUUAUAAUUUGAUUUUAACUAAGUUGAAGUGUAUGUUAUUUGUAUUGACAUGGAGCCGAAUGGGAUUGUAAUAAUAUUUUUGCGAUGAAUUUCAUUAUUGUUAUUAUUUGUGAUGUAUUAUUGAGGGUUGAACCGAAUUGUAAUGCAUAUUAUAUUUUUUUGAUGUGUUUGUAAAAUUUAGUUGCAUCUAAAAUUGUAUUGACCGACAACAAAGUUUAAUCUUCAAAUUUUAACAAGCAAAUAAGAUUAAAUUAAAACAUUAUAAUAUUAAAAAUGUUAUACUAAGACAUUAUCAAUUUACUUCUUCAAUUUGAUGGUAAAUAAGACUUAAAUUGAAAUAAAAAAUAAACUGAAUUUUGUUGGUGAACAUAAUUUCUUAGUUUGUAAAUAAGAAUGUUAAUUAUUUGACAUACAAGUAUAUUUAUACAGUAUAUUGUGCUAUAUCCAGUAAUUAUAAUGUAUAAUAUUUGUGUAAAACAAUUAUCGUGUAUUGGUUUGCUAGAAAAUAGUAAUAUAAUGAAUUGUAUUCUCAAUUACAAUGAGUAUUUUUUUAGUGAGAUGAAAGUUGACGUAUUGUAAUAUUUUUAUCAGAAAGUUUCACCUACAAUUCGAUCAGAAAAAAUGAGUGCAACUACUUGCAGUUCAGUGAAAAAAAGAAAAAUUCCAAUGCAAAAACGUGAAACAAAAGAGCAGAGAGCUGUUACAUUCAGUAAAAGACGAACGGGUCUGUUUAACAAAGCAGCAGAAUUGUGUGUUCUCUGCAAUACUCAGGUUGUAAUUUUGGUUUCUGCUCCUUUGGCCAAAGAAAAGUUUUAUACUUUUGCACACCCUAACAUCAAUCUUCUUCUCGACACAUUCCUCAAUAACCAUGUCUCUCAUCCCAUCAACAAUUACAAUAAUCUUUCUACUUCUUCGUCUCAUCAAACUAUGGAGCAAUUAACUCCUAACAAUAAUGUGUCCAAGACCAAGAAGAGAAAGAGAGAGUCUGAAGAGUUUUGGUGGGAAAAUGAAGACUUUGAUGUUUACCAAACACCUGAAGAGGUGACAUCAAUCAUCGAGAAGUUAGAAAAGGUGAGAGAAAAUGUGGCGCUCAAACUUCAAAAAUUAUCAACUUCUAAUAAUCAAGAUAUUAACAGUAGCGAUCAUCAAAACUAUCAUCUUGGGUGCUUUGCUGAAGAUAUAAUGAACAUUAAUAAUGAGUACAGUAAAGAGAGUGGUGAUCAAAGUCAGUUUAUGACAUCCGUUGUGUUUCAGAAUUUAUCAACUUCUACUUAUCAUGGUAGUUGCAUUGAUCAAAAUAUAGUGGACAUUGAUGGAUUCAAGAACAAUGUUGAUUUUAUGCAAAUGUUGCCUCUAAAAUCUACUAUGCUUACACACAAUACCAACAAUGGCAGCCAAGAUAUUGAGAAUUAUCACAAUGAUAUGGGUACUACAUUUGAAGCCCCAUUAUUCUUCUCUAAUGGCGUCGAAAAUUAUCAAGAUAUUAGUAGUGGUGAUCAUCAAAACUAUCAUCUUGGGUGCUUUGCUGAAAAUAUAAUGAAUAUUAAUCAUGAGUACAAUAAUGAAAGUGGCGAUCAGAGUCAGUUUAUGCCAUCUGUUGUGUUUCAAAAUUUAUCAACUUCUACUUAUCAAGAUGGUUGCAUUGAUCAAAAUAUGGUGAACGUUGAUGGAAACAAGAACAAUGUUGCUUUUAUGCAGAUGUUGCCUCUAAACUCUACUAUGUUUACACACAAUACCAACAAUGACACCCAAGAUAUUGAGAACUAUCACUAUGAUAUGGGUACUACAUUUGAACCCCCAUUAUUCUUCUCUAAUGGUGUCGAAAAUUAUCAAGAUAUUAGUAAUGAUCAUCAAAACUAUCAUCUUGGUUGCUUUGCUGAAAAUAUAAUGAAUAUUGAUCAUGAGUACAAUGAUGAGAGUGGUGAUCAAAGUCAGUUUAUGUCAUCUGUUGUGUUUCAAAAUUUAUCAACUUCUACUUAUCAUGGUAGUUGCAUUGAUCAAAAUAUAGUGGACAUUGAUGGAUUCAAGAACAAUGUUGAUUUUAUGCAAAUGUUGCCUCUAAAAUCUACUAUGCUUACACACAAUACCAACAAUGGCAGCCAAGAUAUUCAGAAUUAUCACAAUGAUAUGGGUACUACAUUUGAAGCCCCAUUAUUCUUCUCUAAUGGCGUCGAAAAUUAUCAAGAUAUUAGUAGUGGUGAUCAUCAAAACUAUCAUCUUGGGUGCUUUGCCGAAAAUAUAAUGAAUAUUAAUCAUGAGUACAAUAAUGAAAGUGGCGAUCAGAGUCAGUUUAUGCCAUCUGUUGUGUUUCAAAAUUUAUCAACUUCUACUUAUCAAGAUGGUUGCAUUGAUCAAAAUAUGGUGAACGUUGAUGGAAACAAGAACAAUGUUGCUUUUAUGCAGAUGUUGCCUCUAAACUCUACUAUGUUUACAGACAAUACCAACAAUGGCACCCAAGAUAUUGAGAACUAUCACUAUGAUAUGGGUACUACAUUUGAACCCCCAUUAUUUUUCUCUAAUGGCAUCGAGAGAUGUGCUACGUCUCUUUGUAUUGGUGAUCAAAAUUUUAGUUGGAUGAAUGAUAAGAUCACUACUUCAUACAGUCAAAAUGAACAAUUUUCACCGUCCUUCUCCUCCAAUGACUUGGAUCACCAUAUCAAUACUUCUUUUGAAUGGGAGUUCAGAGAUGAGAAUCCUUCAUUUCUUCAAGAUAAUGCUACUGGAUUAGUUCCACUAUUUUCUCAUAGUGAUAAAAGCAUAGACAAGCAGAAUUUGUCUGAAUCAAAUUUUAAAGAUAAUAAUUUUUCAGUUACUGGAGCAACAACUGACAAUGACUUGUUUCUUGGUGACGACUAUGUUAAUUCUUCAACAAUGGAGGAUAACACUGAAUUUUUUUCAUUGUUGGAAUAUUUCUUUUCUAGUUGAUUGUAAGCUUUCUCUGUAUUUCCUUUGCAGUGUAAUAAAAUGUUCUUGUGGUCUCUCAACUUUUUCUUUGGCAUAUUGAUCAUAAUAUAAUUCUUAUCAUCCACUAAAUGAUGAAGUAAAUAUGUACGGAAUCAAUAUUUAUAGUCAUCAACUAUGAGAUUAAAAAAAAAAUUCAUACAAAUAUUUUAUACUAAAACAAUCAACUGCAAACUUAAAAAUCUCCCAAAUUAACUUGAAUUAAGAGUUUAUUUUAUUUUACAUUUUAAAUUAAAUAGAUCUUAUUAUUUGGGUUCUUAAUUAGUUUUAAGUUUUUAAUUAAUUAUUUUUUAAAAAAUAUUUUUUUAAAAAAUUUAUUUAUUAUAAUAUAAUUUCAUAAUAUAAGGAUAUCGGCAUUUUAUUUUUUUAAAAAAAGAAUAUCAGCAUUUAUAAUCACUAUCAUUUUUUAUUUCUUUUUUCAGUUGAGGAAACAAAAAAUAAAUAUUAGAAUAUAUUCAAAAAUUANNNNNNNNNNNNNNNNNNNNNNNNNNNNNNNNNNNNNNNNNNNNNNNNNNNNNNNNNNNNNNNNNNNNNNNNNNNNNNNNNNNNNNNNNNNNNNNNNNNNNNNNNNNNNNNNNNNNNNNNNNNNNNNNNNNNNNNNNNNNNNNNNNNNNNNNNNNNNNNNNNNNNNNNNNNNNNNNNNNNNNNNNNNNNNNNNNNNNNNNNNNNNNNNNNNNNNNNNNNNNNNNNNNNNNNNNNNNNNNNNNNNNNNNNNNNNNNNNNNNNNNNNNNNNNNNNNNNNNNNNNNNNNNNNNNNNNNNNNNNNNNNNNNNNNNNNNNNNNNNNNNNNNNNNNNNNNNNNNNNNNNNNNNNNNNNNNNNNNNNNNNNNNNNNNNNNNNNNNNNNNNNNNNNNNNNNNNNNNNNNNNNNNNNNNNNNNNNNNNNNNNNNNNNNNNNNNNNNNNNNNNNNNNNNNNNNNNNNNNNNNNNNNNNNNNNNNNNNNNNNNNNNNNNNNNNNNNNNNNNNNNNNNNNNNNNNNNNNNNNNNNNNNNNNNNNNNNNNNNNNNNNNNNNNNNNNNNNNNNNNNNNNNNNNNNNNNNNNNNNNNNNNNNNNNNNNNNNNNNNNNNNNNNNNNNNNNNNNNNNNNNNNNNNNNNNNNNNNNNNNNNNNNNNNNNNNNNNNNNNNNNNNNNNNNNNNNNNNNNNNNNNNNNNNNNNNNNNNNNNNNNNNNNNNNNNNNNNNNNNNNNNNNNNNNNNNNNNNNNNNNNNNNNNNNNNNNNNNNNNNNNNNNNNNNNNNNNNNNNNNNNNNNNNNNNNNNNNNNNNNNNNNNNNNNNNNNNNNNNNNNNNNNNNNNNNNNNNNNNNNNNNNNNNNNNNNNNNNNNNNNNNNNNNNNNNNNNNNNNNNNNNNNNNNNNNNNNNNNNNNNNNNNNNNNNNNNNNNNNNNNNNNNNNNNNNNNNNNNNNNNNNNNNNNNNNNNNNNNNNNNNNNNNNNNNNNNNNNNNNNNNNNNNNNNNNNNNNNNNNNNNNNNNNNNNNNNNNNNNNNNNNNNNNNNNNNNNNNNNNNNNNNNNNNNNNNNNNNNNNNNNNNNNNNNNNNNNNNNNNNNNNNNNNNNNNNNNNNNNNNNNNNNNNNNNNNNNNNNNNNNNNNNNNNNNNNNNNNNNNNNNNNNNNNNNNNNNNNNNNNNNNNNNNNNNNNNNNNNNNNNNNNNNNNNNNNNNNNNNNNNNNNNNNNNNNNNNNNNNNNNNNNNNNNNNNNNNNNNNNNNNNNNNNNNNNNNNGCCCGCAGUAGGGCCCUAUAAAGGUGAUCCGUGAAGCUCCAGCACCUCAUAAACUUAAGAACAUAUACUAAGCAUAUCCAGAACCUGAGGAGGAAGCUCGCUGCUCUGCACUCGCUGCAUCCAUUGAUAACCAAAAAUUUCAGGAGUAUCGAUUGAAAGCAGAUCGGUGAUGAAUAGAUAAUAAAGCACCAAGGAUCGACAUAAAUUUGUUGGCUCAAGCAAAUCAAUUAUGAUAUUUUUUUGGAGGAAAUUUCCACUUUAACAAUCAUGAUAAGCUAGUGAGCUAAAUCACAUCUUACCAUUUGCCUUUAACAAAAUUUCCGUCUUCUUUAAUUACUCCAACAAUGCAUCUUAGCUUUUACAAGGUAUUAAUUAAUAACUACAUGUGAUAAAUACAGAGGACUUUUAGGUAUUCUUGAUUAGACCCUAGAAUUGAUCGGAUCCUAGAAUUCUCUUCUAGGACCAAAUAUCAUUUAAGUACCAUAACUUCAAACUACAUUAAAAAUUAUCCAUAAGAUUUUGAGUUACAUUCAAUAAGAUACUCUAAUCUUUAAUUAGUCUCCCAAUACAUCUAUCACCAUACAAAUACCUGAAGAAAAUCUCAUCCUUGACAAUCUAGCCAUGUAAAUGCUUCCUUUUAUAAAUGCCACCUUAAUUUAAGUUAGCAUAAUAAUUAGAAUGGGCUUUGCAAAACCUCCAGCCCCAUCCUCGUGCAUCAUCAUCUAUGAAAAAACCUAAUUGCCUUACUAAAAGCAAUUCACAAACUAAUUAAUAAUACUUAAUCUAUUAAUACAUCCUUUCUAGGAAAGCUUUCUGAAUAAAAAGAGCAAAUCCAUGUCUCAAGAAUCGAUUCCACAUAUAAAAUAAUUCUAAAAACGUUUUAUGUGUAUUAUCUAUCACUCACAUAUAAAAUUUGCUUCAUAUUCACAUAAACAACUCAGUAGUCAACCAAAUCUAUCAAUUGUCACUUAUAAAAAUUAUGACCUAAAAAUCCCUUCUAGUAUCUGUAUUCCCAUGUACUAGGUUAAUCUUAUAACUAGAGCAAAAAAGAUAAAUCACAUCAGAAUCCCGGAUGUAGAAACCUUACUCAAAUUUGGUCAAUAGGUAAAUGACAUUUGUGUGAGUGUUAUCUCUUGUGCACUAACAUGUAGUAACUGAUUAAGAAACAAAUUAUCCGCUUAGUGAAUCAACUUUGAUGGAGCCAAUCAAACUACAUGCUGGAAUUUUUCGGAUUUUAGACUCUGCCAUCGCUUUCCUCCAAUUAGCAGCAUCUCCCCACCUUUCCCCAACAGCACUUAUAUUUGACAACACCACAUAUCGGCCACAAUGUUUUGGCUGUAAUUCAAGGAGCUUCUUUCCUACUUCAUUUCCCAACUGAACGUCCCCAUGAAUCUUACAAGCACCAGAAAGAGCUCCCAAAACAGAGGCAUCAGGCAGCAAGGGCAUGCAAAGUACAAACUCAACUGCAUCUCUCAGAAGUCCUGCUCGGCCCAAGAGAUCAACAGCACAGCCAUAAUACUCCCUUACUGGUACAACACCAUAUCGACUUGACACUUACAGAAACAACUUCAAACCCAAGUCAACAAGUUUUGCUCGAGCACAAGAUGUAAGAAUAGCAACAAAGGUAACCUCAUUGGGGCAAAAUCCUUGCACUUUCAUCGUCUCAAACAUACAUAGAGCUUGCUUCGCCCUGCCAUGACAGGCAAGUGAAGAAAUCAUUGCAUUCCAAGUGAAAACCUCUUUAACCUCUAUCCGAUUGAAUACUCUUUUUGCAGUCUCCAAACAACCUGUCUUUCCAUACAAAUCUACCAACGCAGCCCCCACGACAGCGCUCAAACUGAACCCAUUCUUAACAACAUAUCCAUGUAUCUGCUUCCUUUGAUAAAGACCAGUUCCAUCUAAAUUAGCACAAGAAGACAGCACAGUAACAAAUGCAGCCUCAUUAGACUUUACGGAACCGCGGACCACAUCCUCGUGAACCAUAAUCUUUGCAAAAAGUGGCAAUGCAUCAACAAAGCGUCCAUUCAUCACGAACCCAUUAAUAACUCUCGUCCAUCAAACCACAUCCUUCCCGGGCAUGCUCUGAAAAUACAGAAAAGCAGAACCCACGUCUCCAUUCCUCCAAAAAGCGUCAAGUAAAACAUUACACGCCACAAUACAUGGAUGGGGAAUUUCCACAAACAUCUUACGUGCAUUGCGUAUGUCACACACUUCGGCGUCCACAUUCACGGAUGAAGUUUGCACAAAUGGGUCGCAUAAAACACCCCAUUUGAGAGCAUGAGCAUGGAGAAUUGGGCCAGAUGAGGGAGAGCAAGAAGCAGCUUUGAUUAGAGACGGGAAAGUGAGAUGGUUUGGUGAAAGUCCGUGUGCAAUCAUGCGGGUGAAAAGUAGUAAAGAAGUACAAGAGAGUCCCGUAGAGAGAUAAGAUCAAAUGAGAGUGUUGUAAAUGAGAACGGUGUUCCAUGAAGAAGUGUGGUUGAGGAGAGAGCCGCGGGUGAUAAGAAGGGAAUGAAUCUGUUUGAUCUGGUUGGGACAGUGGAUGAAAUGCUGGAGAAGAAGCUCGGGACUUGAAAAUCCAGAAAACCCACCUGUUACCAGAAGCUUUAAAAUCAAAACUUGAUUAGAUGCCCGUUCUUGUCCACCAUCUGCCCAGUUCGUAUAUUAUUAUUUUUGGAUCAAAUUAACAUUUUUUUUUUUCUCAUGUUUCUUUCAAUUCAUAUAUGUAUAUAUAUAUAUAUAUAUAUAUAAAUUUAAUUCCAACAAAAAAUGAAGAAAAUUCUUUUAUUUUACUAUUUAUUUUCUGUGUUUUAAAAUAAUAAUAAUUAUUAAAUUUGAUUAAACUUAACGAGGAAGAUUGAUUUAUUUUAUUUAAUUUAUACAAUCAUAUUAUUAAUAAAUUAAAAAAAAGUUCGAUUACAACUAUUUUUCAAUUUUUCUAAAUUUUCUAACGAAAAAAAAAUUCUAUGUAGAGAAAAUCUUUUCUCGACAUAGGUUAAAUUCGUAUUCAGUUUUUAAUAUUGUGUAUAUUCAUUAAAACUGAUUAUAGAAGAAUUAUGAAUUUAACUUGAAAAAAAUACUUUAACAUUAAUAAAAUGGAGAACAAAAUCAAUAUUUUAAACUAUAAAAUUUACAUAUUAAAAACUAGAAAAUAACCAACCCUAGCACCUAAAGAAAAGCAAGCGACAAAAUUAACCGUGAAUGUUCAAUUUAUUGACAAUCACAAAUUACCAUCUUUAAUUCAUUUAUAAUAAUCAUAAAUUACCCUCUUCGAAAAUUCUUAUAUUUCACUUCGGUCCUUUUAUCUUCAUUCUCCGUUAAUUUUCUGUAAGGAUUAAUUUGCAAUUGUUAUGCUUGCAACAUCAUUAUGAAAAUUUUCUGCCAUUGUGCAAUAUUUUUACAGUCAAUCGCUUCAGACUUUUCGAGUGUUUGACUCGAUCAUUUUAUAUGCAUAAAUAAUAUAGUAAUGCCCCACUCAUUUAGAGUGUUGUUUUGAGGUUGCAGAUUUUAGAGAGUCUUUUUAAGAAGUAUGAGAUUGUCAAAUACAUUUUUGUAUAAAACUUUAAGCCUUACAAGACUAGGGCAAAGUACUACAAGUUCAUCUAUUGUUGGCUCUGGGUGAUAAUAUAUGAAUGUUCCUGUAUAAGCCUAUGGGAAGUAAGUCAUGCAGGAGGUCAGAAGAAAGGGAACACACGAUAUGGGAUUUUGUCGGUAGCAAGAUUAUGGUGGACAGAUUGGAGCUACUAGCGAUAGCUGCUGUUUUCCUCAUACGACUUUACGUAUCAUAUUUUACUGUAUGUUCCUAUAAAUUUGCAAUUAGUGGGUAAUAGGAUAUCUGCAAUUUUUUACUCAGAAAAGAGUGAGACUUGGGUAUUUAGUGUUGCAGUUUUACUGUUUUGUUUCGACAAGGGAGUGCUUAGUACUGGUUCAAAUUUUGGGUAAAGACUGAACACUAGUUAGCUCCACCUUCUUGCAUGAUAUUAAUCAAGGGCUAUAUACUCUUCCAUUCUUUUUUUGUUCCUUUUAUUUUUUCUAUGAAUGAGUUGGAUGAAAUAGUACGGUUGGCUUUUAUAUAUAAAUAAUAUAUACCUUUAAUCUCUUUUGAUUUUCGGUACAUGAAUAUAUGACUUGUGAGCAGCUUCUCCUGAAGGAGAUUAUUGAAGCAGGUCGUCUCUUUUAUUUUAUCUUAUUUCAACUUAUUCUUCUAUUGAUCCGAAUACAUAUUUAAGUUGUUUUGUUUUUCUUUUCGAGAUUUUUUAUAGUUUUUUAUGUUAUUACUCCUCACUGAGUAUCCUAUUAUGGCAUGGAUUGGAAUAUAAUAAGUGAUGAUUCUUCAUGACUGCUAUCAAUGAACAUUAAUUAGGUAAGUUGUAAGGAGAUAUAUAUACUAUUCUAUUUUUUCUAUCCUGAGUUUGAUUUAUUAGGGGGAGUUUAGGAAUCAGAAUCCUAAAUACAUUAUGUCAAUGCGGAAGAGUCAGUAAGUUAGCAUUUUGAGAAAGAGUUAAUACAAUAUAGGAUUUACUUUUGCAUUAUCAAUACUGGUACUUUUAGUGGUAAAAAGUGUAAGAAAAUAGAAAAAACAAUAAAAUAUUUUUAUUAAAUAUUAGUGCAAUUUAAUUUGUUGUUUUAAAUUUAAUUUAUUAGUAUUAUUUGUGAUAUUGUUUCAAAAUUAUUUUUUAAAAAAUCAUAUCUUCAUAUAAUAUUUAACCUUCACCUUGGAGAAAUUAAAAUAGUGAUACAUUUAAUUAACUAAUUUGAUAAUAUACAUUCAAUUUAAUAUUUAUUCAUGCAGUCGUAUAAUUUAAUAAAUUAUUAAAGAUAAAAAUAAAGAUUAUUUAUUAUUAAGUAUACUCUUAUAAUAGCUUUAGUUUUAAAGUUAGAUUUAAUGGUUAAAUUUAAUUUUUAGGAAAAAUAAAUAAUAAUUUUUAAAUAUAUAUUUUGUUUUGGUUUAAUUUUAAAAAUAAUAUAUUUUUUUCUAGAAAAUUCUGUAAUUGACCAAUCUCUUUUUUAAUUUAAAUUUAUAAGUUUAUGAUUAAUUUAUUAUUUUUAUGAUUUUUUUUUUAUUUUUAAUUUGUUUGUUAUACAUUAUUAUUUUGCUUGCAAAUUAUAGUUAUAAUUAUAAUUAUAAUUAAAUUAAAUUAAAUUAAUUUAAUAGCCCAGUUUUUUCCAACCCAUAACCUGCAAACGACAGCGUUUUGGAAGAGGUUAUUGGCGGCAAAAGGGAAGGGUUUUAAGGGAAUUUAGAAAGGUUUAGGGGCAAAAUUGGAAAUACAGCUGUUUCCAACGGUCUUCUUCUCUCUAUAUAUAUUGCACCGACCACUCCAUUCUUCUCUCUCUACUCAGCUUUCAGACAGAUCACAUUCCUUCUUCCCUUUCCUCCCGAUUCUCUCUGUUCAUUGGAAACGUUUCGUUUCCUUCCGAUUUCUCUCAAAUUCAAUCGACUGCUUCGACUUUGCUUCUCCGCUCGCUUCUCUGGUAAGGAUCUCCACUGCCGCUUUCUUUUUUUUCCAUUAAAGAUUCAUAUUGCAAAUCUUCUUCUUUGAUUUUGUCAAACAACUCUUUAAUAUUUGUGGUUCUUUUAAUAUUUGUGAUUCUUUUACGAGAUAAAACAUAAAAUCAUGUUCUCUGAGUCAGAUCUGGAAUCCACCGUAACACUCAUUUAGGGAAAAGUCACCAAAAUCUAAGAUCCGUGUAAUCCUUUUUCGGUAACAAACGACCAAUAAAAAAUAUUAAAAAAGAAACCCAGAAAAUCCUCUGUGAAAAUAAAAAAAACGAAAAGAGAUCAAAACCCUAGAUCUUGAAAUAAGACUGAUUACUUCUCCCUGGUUUUUCUGUAAUUAGGUUGUGUGGAGUUUUGGAUUGGAGAAUCUUGAAAUGAAUCUGUAAAAUGCAAUCUUUGUAAUGUUAUUAAGGUUUGAGCUCACCAUUACAACGUAAUGACCUCAAACCCCAUGGGGGAGUCCUAAUCAUAAUGUAUCUUUGUUUUUUAACUGGGUACAAAUUGCAAUGGUGCUGGUUCUGCUAUUUGGGGUUUGAGGGCUAAUUAUAAUGUAUAUAAUUUUCAUUUAGUUUGAGGACAAACUACAAUUGUAUAAUGGAUUGUAUUAUGUUUGUUAUUUCAAUUAUUCAGGGCUUAGAGUUGAAAUUCCAAUGUAUAUCAAUUUUUAUUGGAUGAGAAGCCUAUUGGGUUCUAUUAUUAUUAUUAUAUAUAUUAUAUAUUUUUUUAAUUAGUUGUACUCAAAUUAUGGGUUUUGGAUCUUGUGGUUGUAUUCCAUAUUACAAUAUGUAUGUAAUAUUUGUAGGCGACAAGUCUGUUUAUUUAUCUUCUAAUAUUGUUAUUAAGUUUUGUUAUAUUUUUUACAGGUUAUAUAUAAUAUUUAUAAGUUUGAGCCUAUUGGAUUGUAUUUUUAUUAUUUUCGUCAUGAUAUUACCCACAUUAUUGUAUUUGAAUAAUGGAUUUCAGAUCAUUUGGUUGUAUUUCAUAUUACAAUAUAUAUGUAAUAUUCAUAGGUAUCAAGCCUAUUGAAUUGUUUUAAUAUUGUUACGAAGUUUUGUUAUAUUUUUUACGGGUUGUAUGUAAUAGUUAUAAAGUUCGAGCUUAUUGCGUUGUAAUAUUAUUAUUAUCAUGAUGAUACGACACAUAAUAUUGUAUUUGAAUUAUGAGUUUCGGAUCAUUUGGUUGUAUUCCAUAUUACAAUAUGUAUGUAAUAUUCAUAGGUAUCAAGCCUAUUGAAUUGUUUUAAUAUUGUUACGAAGUUUUGUUAUAUUUUUUACGGGUUGUAUGUAAUAGUUAUAAAUUUCGAGCCUAUUUCGUUGUAAUAUUAUUAUUAUCACGAUGAUAUUACCCACAUUAUUGUAUUAGAAUAAUAGAUUUUGGAUCAUUUGGUUGUAUUCCAUAUUACAAUAUAUAUGUAAUAUUCAUAGGUAUCAAGCCUAUUGAAUUGUUUUAAUAUUGUUACGAAAUUUUGUUAUAUUUUUUACGGGUUGUAUGUAAUAGUUAUAAGUUUCGAGCCUAUUUCGUUUGUAAUAUUAUUAUUAUCACGAUGAUAUGACACACAAUAUUGUUUUUGAAUUAUGGGUUUCAAAUAUUUUAAUUUCAUUCAACAAUAUAAUGAAUGUAACGAAGCCCAUUGACUUGUAUUUUUUUUCUUAGAUAAUUAAACUAUAUUCUUAUUAUUAUGAAGUUUAUUAACUUUUAUGGGUUUUAUAAGUUGCUAAAUUCAGUUGUUAUUAUUAAUUUUUUUUUAAAGUUGUGGGCCGAGCACAAAUUAUAAUUUGAUUUUAACCAAGUUUAAGCAUAUGUUAUUUGUAAUAAUAUUUUUGCGAUGAAUUUCAUUAUUGUUAUUAUUUGUGAUGUAUUAUUGAGGGUUGAACCGAAUUGUAAUGCAUAUUAUAUUUUUUUGAUGUGUUUGUAAAAUUUAGUUGCAUCUAAAAUUGUAUUGACCGACAACAAAGUUUAAUCUUCAAAUUUUAACAAGCAAAUAAGAUUAAAUUAAAACAUUAUAAUAUUAAAAAUGUUAUACUAAGACAUUAUCAAUUUACUUCUUCAAUUUGAUGGUAAAUAAGACUUAAAUUGAAAUAAAAAAUAAACUGAAUUUUGUUGGUGAACAUAAUUUCCUAGUUUGUAAAUAAGAAUGUUAAUUAUUUGACAUACAAGUAUAUUUAUACAGUAUAUUGUGCUAUAUCCAGUAAUUAUAAUGUAUAAUAUUUGUGUAAAACAAUUAUCGUGUAUUGGUUUGCUAGAAAAUAGUAAUAUAAUGAAUUGUAUUCUCAAUUACAAUGAGUAUUUUUUUAGUGAGAUGAAAGUUGACGUAUUGUAAUAUUUUUAUCAGAAAGUUUCACCUACAAUUCGAUCAGAAAAAAUGAGUGCAACUACUUGCAGUUCAGUGAAAAAAAGAAAAAUUCCAAUGCAAAAACGUGAAACAAAAGAGCAGAGAGCUGUUACAUUCAGUAAAAGACGAACGGGUCUGUUUAACAAAGCAGCAGAAUUGUGUGUUCUCUGCAAUACUCAGGUUGUAAUUUUGGUUUCUGCUCCUUUGGCCAAAGAAAAGUUUUAUACUUUUGCACACCCUAACAUCAAUCUUCUUCUCGACACAUUCCUCAAUAACCAUGUCUCUCAUCCCAUCAACAAUUACAAUAAUCUUUCUACUUCUUCGUCUCAUCAAACUAUGGAGCAAUUAACUCCUAACAAUAAUGUGUCCAAGACCAAGAAGAGAAAGAGAGAGUCUGAAGAGUUUUGGUGGGAAAAUGAAGACUUUGAUGUUUACCAAACACCUGAAGAGGUGACAUCAAUCAUCGAGAAGUUAGAAAAGGUGAGAGAAAAUGUGGCGCUCAAACUUCAAAAAUUAUCAACUUCUAAUAAUCAAGAUAUUAACAGUAGCGAUCAUCAAAACUAUCAUCUUGGGUGCUUUGCUGAAAAUAUGAUGAACAUUAAUAAUGAGUACAGUAAAGAGAGUGGUGAUCAAAGUCAGUUUAUGACAUCCGUUGUGUUUCAGAAUUUAUCAACUUCUACUUAUCAUGGUAGUUGCAUUGAUCAAAAUAUAGUAGACAUUGAUGGAUUCAAGAACAAUGUUGAUUUUAUGCAAAUGUUGCCUCUAAAAUCUACUAUGCUUACACACAAUACCAACAAUGGCAGCCAAGAUAUUCAGAAUUAUCACAAUGAUAUGGGUACUACAUUUGAAGCCCCAUUAUUCUUCUCUAAUGGCGUCGAAAAUUAUCAAGAUAUUAGUAGUGGUGAUCAUCAAAACUAUCAUCUUGGGUGCUUUGCUGAAAAUAUAAUGAAUAUUAAUCAUGAGUACAAUAAUGAAAGUGGCGAUCAGAGUCAGUUUAUGCCAUCUGUUGUGUUUCAAAAUUUAUCAACUUCUACUUAUCAAGAUGGUUGCAUUGAUCAAAAUAUGGUGAACGUUGAUGGAAACAAGAACAAUGUUGCUUUUAUGCAGAUGUUGCCUCAAAACUCUACUAUGUUUACACACAAUACCAACAAUGACACCCAAGAUAUUGAGAACUAUCACUAUGAUAUGGGUACUACAUUUGAACCCCCAUUAUUCUUCUCUAAUGGUGUCGAAAAUUAUCAAGAUAUUAGUAAUGAUCAUCAAAACUAUCAUCUUGGUUGCUUUGUUGAAAAUAUAAUGAAUAUUGAUCAUGAGUACAAUGAUGAGAGUGGUGAUCAAAGUCAGUUUAUGUCAUCUGUUGUGUUUCAAAAUUUAUCAACUUCUGCUUAUCAUGGUGGUUCCAUUGAUCAAAAUAUAGUGAACAUUGAUGGAAACAAGAACAAUGUUGAUUUUAUGCAAAUGUUGCCUCUAAAAUCUACUAUGCUUACACACAAUACCAACAAUGGCAGUCAAGAUAUUGAGAAUUAUCACAAUGAUAUGGGUACUACAUUUGAAGCCCCAUUAUUCUUCUCUAAUGGCAUCGAGAGAUGUGCUACGUCUUUUUGUAUUGGUGAUCAAAAUUUUAGUUGGAUGAAUGAUAAGAUCACUACUUCAUAUAGUCAAAAUGAACAAUUUUCACCGUCCAUCUCCUCCAAUGACUUGGAUCACCAUAUUAAUACUUCUUUUGAAUGGGAGUUCAGAGAUGAGAAUCCUUCAUUUCUUCAAGAUAAUGCUACUGGAUUAGUUCCACUAUUUUCUCAUAGUGAUAAAAGCAUAGACAAGCAGAAUUUGUCUGAAUCAAAUUUUAAAGAUAAUAAUUUUUCAGUUACUGGAGCAACAACUGACAAUGACUUGUUUCUUGGUGACGACUAUGUUAAUUCUUCAACAAUGGAGGAUAACACUGAAUUUUUUUCAUUGUUGGAAUAUUUCUUUUCUAGUUGAUUGUAAGCUUUCUCUGUAUUUCCUUUGCAGUGUAAUAAAAUGUUCUUGUGGUCUCUCAACUUUUUCUUUGGCAUAUUGAUCAUAAUAUAAUUCUUAUCAUCCACUAAAUGAUGAAGUAAAUAUGUACGGAAUCAAUAUUUAUAGUCAUCAACUAUGAGAUUAAAAAAAAAAUUCAUACAAAUAUUUUAUACUAAACCAAUCAACUGCAAACUUAAAAAUCUCCCAAAUUAACUUGAAUUAAGAGUUUAUUUUAUUUUACAUUUUAAAUUAAAUAGAUCUUAUUAUUUGGGUUCUUAAUUAGUUUUAAGUUUUUAAUUAAUUAUUUUUUAAAAAAUAUUUUUUUAAAAAAUUUAUUUAUUAUAAUAUAAUUUCAUAAUAUAAGGAUAUCGGCAUUUUAUUUUUUUAAAAAAAGAAUAUCAGCAUUUAUAAUCACUAUCAUUUUUUAUUUCUUUUUUCAGUUGAGGAAACAAAAAAUAAAUAUUAGAAUAUAUUCAAAAAUUAUUAUUAAAUAUGUCAAACUAUAAAAAUAUUUUAUAAAUUAAAGUUUGAGUGAAAACUAAACCAAGCAAACGUAAGUAAACACUUUACUAAAUAUAUGAAUUAAGCCAAUCGAACAAGCGAUUAAUAUAUUUAAGCUUACCGGUACAGAUUUUAUCCCAUAAUCAUUUUAGGGAUGAUUUAAAUUAAAAAUAUAUUUUUAUAAUAAUAUAUAUUUAAUUAAUAUAUUAUUUAAAUUAGAUCGAUUUAGUUAGAAAUUUAAUUAGACAGAAAAUUUAAUUAAAUUUUAAUACUAUUCAAGUUCGAUGAGAUUUUAGAUUUUAAAAUUAUAAGAUUAUAUCAAAAUCGAAGUUUGUAAAAUUCGCUCAAGACUCCAUCUAUUGUUACCCUAAACCGUGUUCAUACCAUAUUAGAAUUGAACUUUGUGAUUCAGCCGGUUGUUUGAACUUAUGAUGGUAUAGAAUCACACGGGUCCACCACCUUUAACUCAUUGAAGAAAAGCUAGACACAACCUUCAAAAAAUUUGAAAAAAGUUUGGAUGUAUCUUCUUUUAAAAGAAAUCAUUUUACCCUGUAAGUCUUUGUUUCUUUCUAAAAAUCUAUCUGGGUGUUACCAUGAAAAUGAUGAAGGCUGUGAAGAAGCUCAAAUUCUGGUCAAGAUCCAGGAAGAAAAGGAAGUACCUUGAGGAGCCCUUCUACCCUGUUCUGGCGCACCAUUGUUGUUGCCGUUCAUGCUCCUCCGUCCAGCCCUCAGCUCCACCAUGGCCUGGUGAAUUCUCAUAUCAGAUUCAAGCUGAUGAAACAGAAAGUGUAGAAGAAAGUAAAUUAAUCCAUUCAAAAUUACCUCAAGUAGACGAAGUUAUAAUCACGAGUAGGUCAAUGUAUCAGCAAUAUAUGGUUGAAAAUCCUGUGUAUGACAUGCCUGAGCCUGUUGUUGAGAUAGUUAGAAGAGAAAGAUCAGGCGGGUACGUUCUUCAGCUGGGUUCUUGUCUGAUCCGCUGCUUCUGCCCAUGUUUCAGUACAGAAGAAGCUCAGUAAAAAAGUGAUUUUGUUAAAUUGUUAGCUUACUUCUUCCUCUAUUUUCUUCUUUUUUUUUUCUUUAAAUUCAGCAAUAGUAAAAAUAUGUUUCUGGAUAUUUUUUUUUGUAAAAAUGCAUUGUCAGUCUUAACUCUGUUGUAUCUAAUAUUUUAACGUAAUAUAAACUUUUAAUAAAAAUUCAUACCUAACUUUGGUUGCAUUCAUACCAAGCGCGGGCAAGAAAGAGCCCCAGCCAACUCCGCUCUGGACGCUAUGAGCUUCUCUAUGCAAUUCUUUAUCUCUUUCUGACUAUUUGUUCUCUGUGUAUUGCUCCUGCAAAAAAGCCAAGCAAAUAAGAGAAUCAAUGAACAAAAAAGUAGUCCUCAAAGAUGCUCAGAUUUAAAAAUACGUAAAGCCGGUGAUUCCGAGUUAUAACGACCUUGCUUCCAGGGGAAAACCAUUCUAGCAUUCCAAUAAUUUUAUCUAAUUCUUCCGAGUCAUCCAAAUCAUCAGGAACAACAAGACUCCUAUAAAGCAUAUAAUUCUUUUGAUCUUACUAAUCCCCUCAUCAACAUUGUUCAACUUGUAUUUUUAAAUCUUGAUAAAUGACCUUGGUGUGAUGUUAUCUGGUGCACAAACAUGUAGUAACUGAUUAAUAGACAAAUUAUCCGCUUAGUGAAUCAACUUUGAUGUAGCCAAUCAAACUAUAUGCCGGAAAUUUUCUGAUUUUAGACUCUGCCAUCACUUUCCUCCAAUUAGCAGCAUCUCCCCACCUUUCCCCAACAGCACUUCUAUUUGACAACACCACAUAUCGGCCACAAUGUUUUGGCUGUAAUUCAAGGACCUUCUUUCCUACCAUUUUCCAACUGAACGUCCCCAUGAAUCUUACAAGCACCAAAAAGAGCUCCUAAAACAGAGGCAUCAGGCAUGAAGGGCAUGCUAAGUGCAAACCCAACUGCAUCUCUCAGAAUUCCUGCUCUGUCCAAUAGAUCAACAACACAACCAUAAUGCUCCAUUAUUGGUACAACCCAAUAUCGACUUGACAUUGACGGAAACAACUUCAAACCCAAGUCAACAAGUUUAGCUCGAGCACAAGCAGUAAGAAUAGCAACAAAGGUAACCUCAUUGGGGCAAAAUCCUUGCGCUUUCAUCUUCUCAAACAUAUAUAGAGCUUGCUUCCCCCUACCAUUGCAGUCCAAGUGAAAACCUCUUUAACCUCUAUCCGAUUGAAUACUCUUAUUGCAGUCUCCAAACAACCUGCCUUUCCAUACAAAUCUACCAACGCAGCCCCCACGACAGCGCUCAAACAUAUCCAUGUAUCUGCUUCCCUUGAUAAAGACCAGUUCCAUCUAAAUUAGCACAAGAAGACAGCACGGUAACAAAUGCAGCCUCAUUAGGCUUCACGGAACCGCGGACCACAUCCUCGUGAACCACCAUCUUUGCCAAAAGUGGCAAUGCAUCAACAAAGCGUCCAUUCAUCACGAACCCAUUAAUGACACUCGUCCAUGAAACCACGUCCUUCUCAUUAAACACCACAAUACAUGGAUGGGGAAUUUCCACAAACAUCUUACGUGCAUUGAGUAUGUCACACACUUCGGCAACUCCACCCUCACGCAUGAAGUUUGCACAUAUGGGUCGCAUAAAACACCCCAUUUGAGAGCCUGAGCAUGGAGAAUUGAGCCAUAUGAGGGAAGCAAGAAGCAGCUUUGAUUAGAGAUGGGAAAGUGAGAUGGUUUGGUGAAAGUCCAUGCGCAAUCAUGCGGGUGAAAAGUAGUAAAGAAGUACGAGAGAGUCCCGUAGAGAGAUAAGAUCAAAUGAGAGUGUUGUAAAUGAGAACGGUGUUCCAUGAAGAAGUGUGGUUGAGGAGAGAGCCGCGGGUGAUAAGAAGGGAAUGAAUCUGUUUGAUCUGGUUGGGACAGUGGAUGAAAUGCUGGAGAAGAAGCUCUGGACUUGAAUAUCCAGAAAACCCACCUGUUACCAGAAGCUUUAAAAUCAAAACUUGAUUACAUGCCUGUUCUUGUCCACCAUCUGCCCAGUUCAUAUAUUAUUAGCAUUCUUGUUCAUAUUUGUUAAUUACAAGAUUUUUGGAUCAAAUUAACAUUUUCUCAUGCUUCUUUCAAUUCAUAUAUAUAUAUAUAUAAAUUUAAUUCCAACCAAAAAUGAAGAAAAUUCUUUUAGUUUACAACUAUUUUUCAAUCUUUCUAAGUUUUCUAACGAAAAACAAAUCCUACGUUGAGAAUUUUUAUUUAGUUUUUAACACUGUGUAUAUUCAUUAAAAUCGAGUCUAAAAGAAUUAUGAACUCAACUUGAAAAAAAACUUUAACAUUAACAAGAUCGAAAACAAAAUUAAUAUUUUAAGUUAUAAAACUUACACAUUAAAAACUAGAAAAUAACCAACCCUAACACCCAAAGAAAAGAAAACGAUAAAAGUAUCCAUGAAGGUUCGGCUCAUUGACAAUUACAAAUUACCAUCUUCAAUUCAUUGACAAUAAUCAUAAAUUACCCUUUUCAAAAAUUCUUAUAUUUCAUUUCGGUCCUUCUAUCUUCGUUUCUCCGCUAAUUUUCUGUAAGGAUUAAUUUGCAAUCGUUAUGCUUGCAACAUCAUUAUGAAAAUUUUUUGCCAUUGUGCAAUAUUUUUACAGUCAAUCGCUUCAGACUUUUCGAGUGUUUGACCUGAUCAUCUUUUAUGCAGAAAAAAUAUAGUAAUAACUCACUUAUUUGGAGUGAUGUUUGGAGAUUGCAAGCUUUAAAUAACAUUUUUAAUAAGAAUGAGAUUGUCAAAUCUUACUAAUUGAACAAAAGCUCAAAGUUCUACAUAAGGAAAAAGAGUUGACAGCCAAACUAUUACCAUAACUUUCGUAAAAUAUAUUUUUUGUGUAAAACUUUAAACUCUACAAAACUAAGGCAAAGUACAAGUUAAUCUAUUGUUGGUUCUGGGUGCUAAUAUAUGAAUGUUCCUGUAGAAGUCUAUCGGAAGUAAGUCGUGCAAGAGGUCAGAAGAAAGGGAAAACACGAUAUGGGAUUUUGUCUGUAGCAAGAUUCUGGUGGACAGAUUGGAGCUGCUAGCGGUAGCUGUUGUUUUCCUCACACGACUUUAUGCAUCAUGUUUAGGUGCAGAUGAUAUUUAGUAAAAAAUAUUUCAUCAGGAAAAAGUGAGACUUGCCUUAUAAAGAAUUUGGGUAUUGCAGUUUUACUGUUUUGUUUUGGCAAGGGAGUGCUUAGUGCUGGUUUAAGUUUUGAGUAAAGAUUAAAAAGUAGUCAGCUCCACCUUUUUUGCAUGAUAUUAAUCAAGGGCUAUAUGCUCUUCCAUCUCAAGUUAUUUUUCUUUUUUGUUCCUUUUAAUUUUUUCUAUGAAUGGGUUGGAUGAGAUGGUACGGUUGGCUUCUGUAUAUAAAUAAUAUAUACAUUUCAUCUCUUUUGAUUUCCAGUACAUGAAUAUUUGACUUGUGAGCAGCUUCUACUGAAAGAGGCUAUUGAAGCAGGUAGCUUUUUUGGUUUUACCUUAUUUCAAUUUAUUCUUCUAUUGAUCCGGAUACAUGUUUAAGUUGUUUUGUUUUUCUUUUCGAGAUUUUCUAUAAUUUUUUACGUGAUUACUCCUCACUGAGUAUCCUAUUAUGUCAUGGAUUGGAAUAUAAUAAGUGAUAAUUCUUCAUUACUGCUAUCAAUGGACAUUAAUUAGGUCAGUAGUAAGGAGAUAUAUAUACUAUUCUAUUUUUUUUAAUCCUGAGUUUGAUUUAUUAGGGGGAGUUUAGGAAUUAGAAUCCUAAAUACAUUAGGUCAAUGUAGAGGAGUGAGUAAGUUAGCAUUUUGAGAAAGAGAUAAUACAAAGUAUAAGAAAUUAGAAAAAACAGUAAAAUAUUUUUAAUUAAAUAUUAAUGCUAUUUAAUUUAUUAUUUUAAAUUUAAUUUUUAGGAAAAAUAAAUAAUAAUUUUUAAAUAUCUAUUUUGUUUUGGUUUAAUUUUAAAAAUAAUAUAUUUUUUUUCUAAAAAAUUCUGUAAUUGACCAAUCUCUUUUUUAAUUUAAAUUUGUAAGUUUAUGAUUAAUUUAUUAUUUUUAUGAUUUUUUUUUGUAUUUUUAAUUUGUUUGUUAUACAUUAUUAUUUUGCUUGCAAAUUAUAGUUAUAAUUAUAAUUAUAAUUAUAAUUAAAUUAAAUUAAAUUAAUUUAAUAGCCCAGUUUUUUCCAACCCAUAACCUACAAACGACAGCGUUUUGGAAGAGGUUAUUGGCGGCAAAAGGGGGGGUUUAAAGGGAAUUUAGAAAGGUUUAGGGGCAAAAUUGGAAAUACAGCUGUUUCCAACGGUCUUCUUCUCUCUAUAUAUAUUGCACCGACCACUCCAUUCUUCUCUCUCUACUCAGCUUUCAGACAGAUCACAUUCCUUCUUCCCUUUCCUCCCGAUUCUCUCUGUUCAUUGGAAACGUUUCGUUUCCUUCCGAUUUCUCUCAAAUUCAAUCGACUGCUUCGACUUUGCUUCUCCGCUCGCUUCUCUGGUAAGGAUCUCCACUGCCGCUUUCUUUUUUUUUUUUCCAUUAAAGAUUCAUAUUGCAAAUUUUCUUCUUUAAUUUUGUCAAACAACUCUUUAAUAUUUGUGGUUCUUUUAAUAUUUGUGAUUCUUUUACGAGAUAAAACAUAAAAUCAUGUACUCUGAGUCAGAUCUGGAAUCCACCGUAACACUCAUUUAGGGAAAAGUCACCAAAAUCUAAGAUCCGUGUAAUCCUUUUUCGGUAACAAACGACCAAUAAAAAAUAUUAAAAAAGAAACCCAGAAAAUCCUCUGUGAAAAUAAAAAAACGAAAAGAGAUCAAAACCCUAGAUCUUGAAAUAAGACUGAUUACUUCUCCCUGGUUUUUCUGUAAUUAGGUUGUGUGGAGUUUUGGAUUGGAGAAUCUUGAAAUGAAUCUGUAAAAUGCAAUCUUUGUAAUGUUAUUAAAGUUUGAGCUCACCAUUACAACGUAAUGGCCUCAAACCCCAUGGAGGAGUCCUAAUCAUAAUGUAUCUUUGUUUUUUAACUGGGUACAAAUUGCAAUGGUGGUGGUUCUGCUAUUUGGGGUUUGAGGACUAAUUAUAAUGUAUAUAAUUUUUAUUUAGUUUGAGGACAAACUACAAUUGUAUAAUGGAUUGUAUUAUUACAGGUUCUCUGCGUAUUAUUAUGUUUGUUAUUUCAAUUAUUCAGGAUUUAGAGUUAAAAUUCCAAUGUAUAUCAAUUUUUAUUGGAUGAGAAGCCUAUUAGGUUCUAUUAUUAUUAUUAUAUAUUUUUUCAAUUAGUUGUACUCAAAUUAUGGGUUUUGGAUCUUGUGGUUGUAUUCCAUAUUACAAUAUGUACGUAAUAUUUGUAGGCGUCAAGUCUGUUUAUUUAUCUUCUAAUAUUGUUAUUAAGUUUUGUUAUACUUUUUACAGGUUGUAUAUAAUAUUUAUAAGUUUUGAGCCUAUAGGAUUGUAUUUUUAUUAUUUUCGUCAUGAUAUUACCCACAUUAUUGUAUUUGAAUAAUGGAUUUCGGAUCAUUUGGUUGUAUUCCGUAUUACAAUAUAUAUGUAAUAUUCAUAGGUAUCAAGCCUAUUGAAUUGUUUUAAUAUUGUUAGGAAGUUUUGUUAUAUUUUUUACGGGUUGUAUGUAAUAGUUAUAAAGUUCGAGCCUAUUGCGUUGUAAUAUUAUUAUUAUCAUGAUGAUAUGACACACAAUAUUGAUUUUGAAUUAUGGGUUUCAAAUAUUUUAGUUUCAUUCAACAAUAUAAUGAAUGUAACGAAGCCCAUUGACUUGUAUUUUUUGUCUAUAUAAUUAAACUAUAUUCUUAUUAUUAUGAAGUUUAUUAACUUUUAUGGGUUUUAUAAGUUGCUAAACUCAGUUGUAUUAUUAUUAUUAUUAACGAGCACAAAUUAUAAUUUGAUUUUAACUAAGUUGAAGUGUAUGUUAUUUGUAUUGACAUGGAGCCGAAUGGGAUUGUAAUAAUAUUUUUGCGAUGAAUUUUAUUAUUGCUAUUAUUUAUGAUAUAUUAUGGAGAGUUGAACCGAAUUGUAAUGCAUAUUAUAUUUUUUUGAUGUGUUUGUAAAAUUUAAUUGCAUCUAAAAUUGUAUUGACCGACAACAAGGUUUAAUCUUCAAAUUUUAACAAGCAAAUAAGAUUAAAUUAAAAUAUUAUAAUAUUAAAAAUGUUAUACUAAGACAUUAUCAAUUUACUUCUUCAAUUUGAUGGUAAAUAAGACUUAAAUUGAAAUAAAAAAUAAACUGAAUUUUGUUGGCGAACUUAAUUUCUUAGUUUGUAAAUAAGAAUGUUAAUUAUUUGACAUACAAGUAUAUUUAUACAGUAUAUUGUGCUAUAUCCAGUAAUUAUAAUGUAUAAUAUUUGUGUAAAACAAUUAUAGUGUAUUGGUUUGCUAGAAAAUAGUAAUAUAAUGAAUUGUAUUCUAAAUUACAAUAAGUAUUUUUUUAGUGAGAUGAAAGUUGACGUAUUGUAAUAUUUUUAUCAGAAAGUUUCACCUACAAUUCGAUCAGAAAAAAUGAGUGCAACUACUUGCAGUUCAGUGAAAAAAAGAAAAAUUCCAACGCAAAAACGUGAAACAAAAAAGCAGAGAGUUGUUACAUUCAGUAAAAGAGGAACGGGUCUGUUUAACAAAGCAGCAGAAUUGUGUGUUCUCUGCAAUGCUCAGGUUGUAAUUUUGGUUUCUGCUCCUUUGGCCAAAGAAAAGUUUUAUACUUUUGCACACCCUAACAUCAAUCUUCUUCUCGACACAUUCCUCAAUAACCAUGUCUCUCAUCCCAUCAACAAUUACAAUAAUCUUUCUACUUCUUCGUCUCAUCAAAAUAUGGAGCAAUUAACUCCUAACAAUAAUGUGUCCAAGACCAAGAAGAGAAAGAGAGAGUCUGAAGAGUUUUGGGGGGAAAAUGAAGACUUUGAUGUUUACCAAACACCUGAAGAGGUGACAUCAAUCAUCGAGAAGUUAGAAAAUGUGAGAGAAAAUGUGGCGCUCAAACUUCAAAAAUUAUCAACUUCUAAUAAUCAAGAUAUUAACAGUAGCGAUCAUCAAAACUAUCAUCUUGGGUGCUUUGCUGAAGAUAUAAUGAACAUUAAUAAUGAGUACAGUAAAGAGAGUGGUGAUCAAAGUCAGUUUAUGACAUCCGUUGUGUUUCAGAAUUUAUCAACUUCUACUUAUCAUGGUAGUUGCAUUGAUCAAAAUAUAGUGGACAUUGAUGGAUUCAAGAACAAUGUUGAUUUUAUGCAAAUGUUGCCUCUAAAAUCUACUAUGCUUACACACAAUACCAACAAUGACAGCCAAGAUAUUGAGAAUUAUCACAAUGAUAUGGGUACUACAUUUGAAGCCCCAUUAUUCUUCUCUAAUGGCGUCGAAAAUUAUCAAGAUAUUGGUAGUGGUGAUCAUCAAAACUAUCAUCUUGGGUGCUUUGCUGAAAAUAUAAUGAAUAUUAGUCAUGAGUACAAUAAUGAAAGUGGCGAUCAGAGUCAGUUUAUGUCAUCUGUUGUGUUUCAAAAUUUAUCAACUUCUACUUAUCAAGAUGGUUGCAUUGAUCAAAAUAUGGUGAACGUUGAUGGAAACAAGAACAAUGUUGCUUUUAUGCAGAUGUUGCCUCUAAACUCUAUUAUGUUUACACACAAUACCAACAAUGGCACCCAAGAUAUUGAGAACUAUCACUGUGAUAUGGGUACUACAUUUGAACCCCCAUUAUUUUUCUCUAAUGGCAUCGAGAGAUGUGCUACGUCUUUUUGUAUUGGUGAUCAAAAUUUUAGUUGGAUGAAUGAUAAGAUCACUACUUCAUACAGUCAAAAUGAACAAUUUUCACCAUCCUUCUCCUCCGAUGACUUGGAUCACCAUAUCAAUACUUCUUUUGAGUGGGAAUUCAGAUAUGAGAAUCCUUCAUUUCUUCAAGAUAAUGCUACUGGAUUAGUUCCACUAUUUUCUCAUAGUGAUAAAGGCAUAGACAAGCAGAAUUUGUCUGAAUCAAAUUUUAAAGAUAAUAGUUUUUCAGUUACUGGAGCAACAACUGACAAUGACUUGCUUCUUGGUGACGACUAUGUUAAUUCUUCAACAAUGGAGGAUAACACUGAAUUUUUUUCAUUGUUGGAAUCUUUCUUUUCUAGUUGAUUGUAAGCUUUCUCUGUAUUUCCUUUGCAGUGUAAUAAAAUGUUCUUGUGAUCUCUCAAUUUUUUCUUUGGCAUAUUGAUCAUAGUUUAAUUCUUAUCAUCCCCUAAAUGAUGAAGUAAAUGUGUACGGAAUCAAUAUUUAUAGUCAUCAACUAUGAGAUUAAAAAAGAAAAAUUCAUACAAAUAUUUUAUACUCGACCAAUCAACCCCAAACUUAAAAAUCUCCCAAAUUAACUAGAAUUAAGAGUUAAUUUUAUUUUAUAUUUUAAAUUAAAUAGCUCUUACUUAUUAUUUGGGUUCUUAAUUAGUUUUAAAUUUUUAAUUAAUUAUUUUUUAAAAAAUAUUUAGAACAAAAUUUUAUUUAUUAUAAUAUAAUUUCAUAAUAUAAGGAUAUCGGCAUUUUAUUUUUCUAAAAAAAGAUAUCAACAUUUAUAAUUACUAUCAUUUUUUAUUUCUUUUUUCAGUUGAAAAAACAAAAAAUAAAUAUUAGAAUAUAUUCAAAAAUUUAUGUCAAACUAUAAAAAUAUUUUAUAAAUUAAAGUUUGGGUGAAAACUAAACCAAACAAACGUAAAUAAACACUUUACUAAAUAUAUGAAUUAAGCCAAUCGAACAAGCGAUUAAUAUAUUUAAACUUACCGGUAAAGAUUUUAUCCCAUAAUCAUUUUAGGGAUGAUUUAAAUUAAAAAUAUAGUUUUAUAGUAAUAUAUAUUUAAUUUAAAUAACAUAUUUAUAUAUAAUAUAUUAUUUAAAUUAUGUAGAUUUAAUCAGAAAUUUAAUUAGAUACAAAAUUUAAUUAAAUUUUAAUACUACUCAAGUUUAAUGAACUUUUAGAUUUUAAAAUUAUAAGAUUAUAUCGAAAUCGAAGUUUAUAAAAUUCGCUCAAGAUUCCAUCUAUUGUUACCCUAAACCGUGUUCAUACCAUAUUAGAAUUGAACUUUGUGAUUCAGCCGGUUGUUUGAACUUAUGAUGGUAUAGAAUCACACGGGUCCACCACCUUUAACUCAUUGAAGAAAAGCUAGACACAACGGUCAAAAAAUUUGAAAAAAGUUUGGAUGUAUCUUCUUUUAAAAGAAAUCAUUUUACCCUAUAAGUCUUUGUUUCUUUCUAAAAAUCUAUCUGGGUGUUACCAUGAAAAUGAUGAAGGCUGUGAAAAAGCUCAAAUUCUGGUCAAGAUCCAGGAAGAAAAGGAAGUACCUUGAGGAGCCCUACUACCCUGUUCUGGCGCACCAUUGCUGUUGCUGUUCAUGCUCCUCCGUCCAGCCCUCAGCUCCUCCAUUGCCACCAUGGCCUGAUGAAUUCUCAUAUCAGAUUCAAGCUGAUAAAACAGAAGGUGUAGAAGAAAGUAAAUUAAUCCAUUCAAAAUUACCUCAAGUAGACGAAGGUAUAAUCACAAGUAGGUCAAUGUAUCAGCAAUAUAUGGUUGAAAAUCAUGUGUAUGACAUGCCUGAGCCUGUUGUUGAGAUAGUUAGAAAAGAAAGAUCAGGCGGGUACGUUGUUCUUCAGCUGGGUUCUCGUCUGAUCCGCUGCUUCUGCCCAUGUUUCAGUAUAGAAGAAGCUAGGUAAAAAAGUGAUCUUCUUAAUUUGUUAGCAUACUUCUUCCUCCUAUUUUUUUUUUUUUAAAUUAAGCAAAGGUAAAAAUAUGUUCUGUACCUUUUUUUUGUGAAAAAGAAUUUUCAAUCUUAACUUUAUUGUACCUAAUAUUUUAAUGUAAUAUAAAGUUUUAAUAAAAAUUCAUACCUAACUUUGGUUGCAUUCACACCAAGCGCGGGCAAGAAAGAGCCUCAGCCAACUCCACUGUGGACGCUAUGAGCUUCUCUAUGCAAUUCUUUCUCUCUUUCUGACUAUUUGUUCUCUGUGUAUUUGCUCUUGCAAAAAAGCCAAGCAAAUAUGAGAAUCAAUGAACAAAAAAUUAGUCCUCAAAGAUGCUCAGAUUUAAAAAUACGUAAAGCUGGUGAUUCCUAAUUAUAAUGAUUUUGCUUCCAGGGGAAAACCAUUCUAGCAUUCCAAUUAUUUUAUCUAAAUGUCCCGAGUCAUCCACAUCAUCGGGAACAACAAGAACUCCUAUAAAGCAUAUAAUUCUUUUUUAUCUUACUAAUCCCCUCAUCAACAUUGUUGAACUUGUAUUUCUAAAUCUUGAUAAAUCCAAAAGAAGUUGUUCUUGUAAGUGAAGCAAACCGUGGAAAUUGUGCAGCAGUUGCUCUGACGUCUGCAAGAAAUCUUCUGUCUCUGAAUUUUUAAAUGUUCAUGUUAUAAACAGUCUUAGCAAAUAUCGUCUUCCCUGUCCCUGCAAUCCCACUUGCUAUGUCAACUCCAUUUGAUCCAUCUUGAGUUCAGGCUUGAUUUCUUCUCCAAGAUCAUCUCUUCCAACUAACUAUUGGGUGACAUCGAACAGUGCCUCAUGCCUGCCUAGAGAAAAAAAAAACGAAAGUUAUGAUUGUUUCCCAACUGCUGAAAUUUAGUAAAAAUCUCAACAAGCAGAGAACGUAGAGUUUUGAAAAUAACAGUUACACUAACCAAGUAAAUAUAAUUUAUUAUAUGCACAGUUAUCCAUGUAAAUUGAUAAUUUAAAUUUGAGAAGUGUGUUAUGGAGCACAUAUAAAAAUAAAAAUCCAUAAAACACAGGAAACUUAUAUAUUUCACAAUGCUUUCGACAAAAUUAUGGCCGUGUCUCUAAACCCUCUGCUCUAGAAUUAACACAAAGAAAAUGCAUGGUAAUAGUUUGUAGUUUAUUGAGAAGAAAGCUGAGAUCAAGCUUACAUAUGUCACAAAAAUCAUUCCUCCCAAGUCAGCAACCUCCCUCGCAGCACCUCAGCUGUUGUAUUUUGUUCUUUACAUCUUUUAGGUGCUCUUCAUGUGCGGCAAUUGUUUCAGAAAAACUCCCUCGCAGUAUACUUCCUAACAUGUGUUGGAUCUACUUCAUAGAACACUGGCAAGAUAUCUGUUCAGUGGUUCUCCUGUGUUACAUGAUCUUACCUAGUUCAUCAGGAAACCACAGAGAAGAGUCACAAUUUUAGGAGAAGAUAAUUAUUUAUAUUGAGACUCCAAUGGCUUUUUCAAGUUAUUUUAUUCAUAUCCUUUCCUCUUUCAACCCCAUCAUCAUAUUUAGAUGUACGAAUUCCUGCCCGCAGUAGGGCCCUAUAAAGGUGAUCCGUGAAGCUCCAGCACCUCGUAAACUUAAGAACAUAUACUAAGCAUAUCCAGAACAUGAGGAGGAAGCUCGCUGCUCUGCACUCGCUGCAUCCAUUGAUAACCAAAAAUUUCAGGAGUAUCGAUUGAAAGCAGAUGGGUGAUGAAUAGAUAAUAAAGCACCAAGGAUCGACAUAAAUUUGUUGGCUCAAGCAAAUCAAUUAUGAUAUUUUUUUGGAGGAAAUUUCCACUUUAACAAUCAUGAUAAGCCAGUGAGCUAAAUCACAUCUUACCAUUUGCCUUUAACAAAAUUUCCGUCUUCUUUAAUUACUCCAACAAUGCAUUUUAGCUUUUACAAGGUAUUAAUUAAUAACUACAUGUGAUAAAUACAGAGGACUUUUAGGUAUUCUUGAUUAGAUCCUAGAAUUGAUCGGAUCCUAGAGUUCUCUUCUAGGACCAAUUAUCAUUUAAGUACCAUAACUUCAUACUACAUUAAAAAUUAUCCAUAAGAUUUUGAGUUCCAUUCAAUUAGAUACUCUAAUCUUUAAUUAGUCUCCCAAUACAUCUAUCACCAUACAAAUACCUGAAGAAAAUCUCAUCCCUAACAGUCUAACCAUGUAAAUGCUUCCUUUUAUAAAUGCCACCUUAAUUUAAGUUAACAUAAUAAUUAGAAAGGGCUUUGCAAACCCUCCAGCUUCAUCCUCAUGCAUCAUCAUCUAUGAAAAAACCUAAUUGCCUUACUAAAAGCAAUUCACAAACUAAUUAAUAAUACUUAAUCCAUUAACACAUCCUUCCUAGGAAAACUUUCUGAAUAAAAAUAGCAAAUUCAUGUCUCAAGAAUCGAUUCCACAUAUAAAAUAAUUCUAAAAACGUUUUACGUGUUUUAUCUAUCACUCACAUAUAAAAUUUGCUUCAUAUUCACAUAAACAACUCAGUAGUCAACCAAAUCUAUCAAUUGUCACUUAUAGAAAUUAUGACCUAAAAAUCCCUUCUAGUAUCUGUAUUCCCAUAUACUAGGUUAAUCUUACAACUAGAGGAAAAAAGAUAAAUCACAUCAGAAUCCCGGAUGUAGAAACCUUACUCAAAUUCGGUCAAUAGGUAAAUGUCCUUUGUGUGAUGUUAUCUGGUGCACAAACAUGUAUGAACUGAUUAAUAGACAAAUUAUCCGCUUAGUGAAUCAACUUUGACCGAGCCAAUCAAACUACAUGCUGGAAUUUUUCGGAUUUUAGACUCUGCCAUCACUUUCCUCCAAUUAGCAGCAUCUCCCCACCUUUCCCCAACGGCACUUACAUCUGACAACACGAAAUAUCGGCCACAAUGUUUUGGCUGUAAUUCCCAACUGAGCUUCUUUCCUACUUCAUUUCCCAACUGAACGUCCCCAUGAAUCUUACAAGCACCAGAAAGAGCUCCCAAAACAGAGGCAUCAGGCAUGAAGGGCAUGCUAAGUGCAAACCCAACUGCAUCUCUCAGAAUUCCUGCUCUGCCCAAUAGAUCAACAACACAGCCAUAAUGCUCCAUUAUUGGUACAAUCCCAUAUCGACUUGACACUGACGGAAACAACUUCAAACCCAAGUCAACAGGUUUUGCUCGAGCACAAGAUGUAAGAAUAGCAACAAAGGUAACCUCAUUGGAGCAAAAUCCUUGCACUUUCAUCUUCUCAAACAUACAUAGAGCUUGCUUCGCCCUGCCAUGACAGGCAAGUGAAGAAAUCAUUGGAUUCCAAGUGAAAACCUCUUUAACCUCUAUCCGAUUGACUACUCUUUUUGCAGUCUCCAAACAACCUGCCUUUCCAGACAAAUCUACCAACGCAGCCCCCACGACAGCGCUCAAACUGAACCCAUUCUUAACAACAUAUCCAUGUAUCUGCUUCCCUUGAUAAAGACCAGUUCCAUCUAAAUUAGCACAAGAAGACAGCACAGUAACAAAUGUAGCCUCAUUAGGCUUCACGGAACCGCGGACCACAUCCUCGUGAUCCAUCAUCUUUGCAAAAAUCCGCAAUGCAUCAAGUCCAUUCAUCACGAACCCAUUAAUAACACUCGCCCAUGAAACCACAUCCUUCUCGGGCAUGCUCUGGAAAUACAGAAAAGCAGAACCCAUGUCUCCAUUCCUCCCAAAAGCGUCAAGUAAAGCAUUACACGCUACAAUACAUGGAUGAGGAAUUUCCACAAACAUCUCACGUGCAUUGCGUAUGUCACACACUUCGUCGUCACACAUUCACGGAUGAAGUUUGCACAAAUGGGUCGCAUAAAACACCCCAUUUGAGAGCAUGAGCAUGGAGAAUUGGACCAGAUGAGGGAGAGCAAGAAGCAGCUUUGAUUAGAGAUGGGAAAGUGAGAUGGUUUGGUGAAAGUCCCUGUGAAAUCAUGCGGGUGAAAAGUAGUAAAGAAGUACGAGAGAGUCCCGUAGAGAGAUAAGAUCAAAUGAGAGUGUUGUAAAUGAGAACGGUGUUCCAUGAAGAAGUGUGGUUGAGGAGAGAGCCGCGGGUGAUAAGAAGGGAAUGAAUCUGUUUGAUCUGGUUGGGACAGUGGAUGAAAUGCUGGAGAAGAAGCUCUGGACUUGAAUAUCCAGAAAACCCACCUGUUACCAGAAGCUUUAAAAUCAAAACUUGAUUACAUGCCUGUUCUUGUCCACCAUCUGCCCAGUUCAUAUAUUAUUAGCAUUCUUGUUCAUAUUUGUUAAUUACAAGAUUUUUGGAUCAAAUUAACAUUUUCUCAUGCUUCUUUCAAUUCAUAUAUAUAUAUAUAUAUAUAUAAAUUUAAUUCCAACCAAAAAUGAAGAAAAUUCUUUUAGUUUACUAUUUAUUUUGUGUGUUUUAAAAUAAUAAUAAUUAUUAAAUUUUAUUAAACUUAACGAGAAAAAUAUAUUUAUUUUAUUUAAUCUAUUCAAUCAUAUUAUUAAUAAAUUAAAAAAAGUUCGAUUACAACUAUUUUUCAAUCUUUCUAAUUUUUUUAAUGAAAAACAAAUCCUACUUAGAGAAUUUUUAUUAAGUUUUUAACACUUUGUAUAUUAAUUAAAAUCGAGUCUAAAAGAAUUAUGAACUCAACUUGAAAAAAAACUUUAACAUUCACAAGAUCGAGAACAAAAUUAAUAUUUUAAGUUAUAAAACUUACACAUUAAAAACUAGAAAAUAACCAACCCUAAUACCCAAAGAAAAGAAAGCGAUAAAAGUAUCCAUGAAGGUUCGGCUCAUUGAAAAUCACAAAUUACCAUCUUCAAUUCAUUGACAAUAAUCAUAAAUUACCCUCUUCGAAAAUUCUUAUAUUUCAUUUCGGUCCUUCUAUCUUCGUUUCUCCGCUAAUUUUUCAUAAUGAUUAAUUUGCAAUCGUUAUGCUUGCAACAUCAUUGUGAAAAUUGUCUACCACUGUGCAAUAUGCUUGCAGUCAAUUGCUUCAGACUUUUGGAGUAUUUGACUCGAUCAUCUUAUAUGCAUAAAUAAUAUAGUAAUACCCCACUCAUUUAGAGUGUUAUCUUGAGGUUGUAGGUUUUAGAGAGACUUUUUAAAAAGCAUGAGAUUGUCAAAUCUUACUAAUUGAACACUAGCUCAGAGUUCUACAACAAAGAAAAAAAAAAAAUUGACAGCCAAACUAUUACCAUAACCUUCGUAAAAUACAUUUUUGUGUAAAACUUUGAGCUUCACAAGACUAGGGCAAAGAACAAGUUCAUCUAUUGUUAGUUCCGGGCUAUAAUAUAUGAAUGUUCAUGCAUAAGCCUAUGGGAAGUAAGUCAUGCAAGAGGUCAGAAUAAAGGAAACACACGAUAUGGAGUUUUGUCUGUAGUAGGAUUUUGGUGGACAGAUUGGAACUGCUAGGAGUAGCUGCUGUAUUCCUCACACGACUUUAUGUAUCUUGUUUAGGUGGAGUAUGGUAUUUAGUGAAAAAUAUUUCAUCAGGAAAGAAUGAGACUUGCCUUAUAAAGACUUUGGGUAUUGCAGUUUUACUGUUUUGUUUCGGCAAUGGAGUGCUUAGUGCUGGUUCAAGUUUUGGGUAAAGACUGAAAACUAGUCAGCUCCACCUUCCUUGCAUGAUAUUAAUCAAGGGCUAUAUGCUCUUCCAUCUCAAGUUGUUUUUCUUUUUUGUUCCUUUUAUUUUUUCUACGAAUGAGCUGGAUGAAAUAGUACGGUUGGCUUCUAUAUAUAAAUAAUAUAUACCUUUAAUCUCUUUUGAUUUUCGGUACAUGAAUAUAUGACUUGUGAACAGCUUCUCCUGAAGGAAAUUAUUGAAGCAGGUAGUCUCUUUUAUUUUAUCUUAUUUCAACUUAUUCUUCUAUUGAUCCGAAUACAUAUUUAAGUUAUUUUGUUUUUCUUUUCGAGAUUUUCUAUAGUUUUUUAUGUGAUUAUUCCUUACUGAGUAUCCUAUUAUGGUAUAGAUUGGAAUAUAAUAAGUAAUAAUUUUUCAUUACUGCUAUCAAUGAACAUUAAUUAGAUAAGUUGUAAGGGAAUAUAUAUACUAUUCUAUUUUUUCUAUUCUGAGUUUGAUUUAUUAAGGGGAGUUUAGGAAUCAGAAUCUUAAAUUCAUUAGAUCAAUGUGGAAGAGUCAUUAAGUUAACAUUUUGAGACAAUAAAAUAUUUUUAUUAAAUAUUAGUGCAAUUUAAUUUGUUGUUUUAAAUUUAAUUUAUUAGUAUUAUUUGUGAUAUUGUUUCAAAAUUAUUUUUAAAAAAAUCAUGUCUUCAUAUAAUAUUUAACCUUCACCUUGAAAAAAUUAAAAUAAUGAUAUAUUUAAUUAACUAAUUUGAUAAUAUACAUUCAAUUUAAUAUUUAUUCGUAUAGUCGUAUAAUUUAAUAAAUUAUUAAAUAUAAAGAUAAAGAUAUAAGAUAUUUAUUAUUAAGUAUACUUUUAUAAUAGCUUUAGUUUCAAAGUUUGAUUUAAUAGUUAAAUUUAAUUUUUAGGAAAAAUAAAUAAUAAUUUUUAAGUAUAUAUUUUAUGAUUUUUUUGGUAUUUUUAAUUUGUUUGUUAUACAUUAUUAUUUUGCUUGCAAAUUAUAGUUAUAAUUAUAAUUAUAAUUAAAUUAAUUUAAUAGCCCAGUUUUUUCCAACCCAUAACCUACAAACGACAGCGUUUUGGAAGAGGUUAUUGGCGGGAAGGGGGAGGGUUUAAAGGGAAUUUAGAAAGGUUUAGGGGCAAAAUUGGAAAUACAGCUGUUCCCAACGGUCUUCUUCUCUCUAUAUAUAUUGCACCGACCACUCCAUUCUUCUCUACUCAGCUUUCAGACAGAUCACAUUCCUUCUUCCCUUUCCUCCCGAUUCUCUCUGUUCAUUGGAAGCGUUUCGUUUCCUUCCGAUUUCUCUCAAAUUCAAUCGACUGCUUCGACUUUGCUUCUCCGCUCGCUUCUCUGGUAAGGAUCUCCACUGCCGCUUUUUUUUUUUUUUUUCCAUUAAAGAUUCAUAUUGCAAAUUUUCUUCUUUAAUUUUGUCAAACAACUCUUUAAUAUUUGUGGUUCUUUUAAUAUUUGUGAUUCUUUUACGAGAUAAAACAUAAAAUCAUGUACUCUGAGUCAGAUCUGGAAUCCACCGUAACACUCAUUUAGGGAAAAGUCACCAAAAUCUAAGAUCCGUGUAAUCCUUUUUCGGUAACAAACGACCAAUAAAAAAUAUUAAAAAAGAAACCCAGAAAAUCCUCUGUGAAAAUAAAAAAACGAAAAGAGAUCAAAACCCUAGAUCUUGAAAUAAGACUGAUUACUUCUCCCUGGUUUUUCUGUAAUUAGGUUGUGUGGAGUUUUGGAUUGGAGAAUCUUGAAAUGAAUCUGUAAAAUGCAAUCUUUGUAAUGUUAUUAAGGUUUGAGCUCACCAUUACAACGUAAUGGCCUCAAACCCCAUGGAGGAGUCCUAAUCAUAAUGUAUCUUUGUUUUUUAACUGGGUACAAAUUGCAAUGGUGGUGGUUCUGCUAUUUGGGGUUUGAGGACUAAUUAUAAUGUAUAUAAUUUUCAUUUAGUUUGAGGACAAACUACAAUUGUAUAAUGGAUUGUAUUAUUACGGGUUCUCUGCAUAUUAUUAUGUUUGUUAUUUCAAUUAUUCGGGGCUUAUAGUGAAAUCCAAUGUAUAUUAUUUUUAUUGGAUGAGAAGCCUAUUGGGUUCUAUUAUUAUUAUAUAUAUUAUAUAUUAGUUGUACUCAAAUUAUGGGUUUUGGAUCUUGUGGUUGUAUUCCAUAUUACAAUCUGUAUGUAAUAUUUGUAGGCGUCAAGUCUGUUUAUUUAUCUUCUAAUAUUGUUAUUAAGUUUUGUUAUACUUUUUACAGGUUGUAUAUAAUAUUUAUAAGUUUUGAGCCUAUAGGAUUGUAUUUUUAUUAUUUUCGUCAUGAUAUUACCCACAUUAUUGUAUUUGAAUAAUGGAUUUCGGAUCAUUUGGUUGUAUUCCGUAUUACAAUAUAUAUGUAAUAUUCAUAGGUAUCAAGCCUAUUGAAUUGUUUUAAUAUUGUUACGAAAUUUUGUUAUAUUUUUUACUGGUUGUAUGUAAUAGUUAUAAAGUUCGAGUUUAUUGCGUUGUAAUAUUAUUAUUAUCAUGAUGAUACGACACACAAUAUUGUAUUUGAAUUAUGAGUUUCGGAUCAUUUGGUUGUAUUCCAUAUUACAAUAUGUAUGUAAUAUUCAUAGACAUCAAGCCUAUUGAAUUGUUUUAAUAUUGUUAUGAAAUUUUGUUAUAUUUUUUACGGAUCGUAUAUAAUAUUUAUAAGCUUUGAGCCUAUUGGGUUGUAUUAUUAUUAUUAUCAUCCUAAUAUUACAUACAUUAGUGUAUUUGAAUUAUAGAUUUCGGAUCAUUUGGUUGUAUUCAAUAUUACAAUAUAUAUGUAAUAUUCAUAGGUAUCAAGCCUAUUGAAUUAUUUUAAUAUUGUUACGAAGUUUUGUUAUAUUUUUUACGGAUUGUAUGUAAUAGUUAUAAGUUUCGAGCCUAUUUCGUUGUAAUAUUAUUAUUAUCACGAUGAUAUGACACAAUAUUGUAUUUGAAUUAUGAGUUUCGGAUCAUUUGGUUGUAUUCCAUAUUACAAUAUGUAUGUAAUAUUCAUAGGUAUAAAGCCUAUUGAAUUGUUUUAAUAUUGUUACGAAAUUUUGUUAUAUUUUUUACGGGUUGUAUGUAAUAGUUAUAAGUUUCGAGCCUAUUUCGUUGUAAUAUUAUUAUUAUUAUUAUGAUAUGACACACAAUAUUGUUUUUGAAUUAUGGGUUUCAAAUUUUUUAGUUUCAUUCAACAAUAUAAUGAAUGUAACGAAGCUCAUUGACUUGUAUUUUUUUUCUUAGAUAAUUAAACUAUAUUCUUAUUAUUACGAAGUUUAUUAACUUUUAUGGGUUUUAUAAGUUGCUAAACUCAAUUGUAUUAUUGUUAUUAUUAAUUUUUUUUUUAAAGUUGUGGGCCGAACUCAAAUUAUAAUUUGAUUUUAACCAAGUUUUAAGUGUAUGUUAUUUGUAUUGACAUGGAGCCAAAUGGGAUUGUAAUAAUAUUUUUGCGAUGAAUUUCAUUAUUGCUAUUAUUUAUGAUAUCUUAUGGAGGGUUGAACCGAAUUGUAAUGCAUAUUAUAUUUUUUUGAUGUGUUUGUAAAAUUUAAUUGCAUCUAAAAUUGUAUUGACCGACAACAAAGUUUAAUCUUCAAAUUUUAACAAGCAAAUAAGAUUAAAUUAAAACAUUAUAAUAUUAAAAAUGUUAUACUAAGACAUUAUCAAUUUACUUCUUCAAUUUGAUGGUAAAUAAGACUUAAAUUGAAAUAAAAAAUAAACUGAAUCUUGUUGGUGAACAUAAUUUCUUAGUUUGUAAAUAAGAAUGUUAAUUAUUUGACAUACAAGUAUAUUUAUACAGUAUAUUGUGCUAUAUCCGGUAAUUAUAAUGUAUAAUAUUUGUGUAAAACAAUUAUCGUGUAUUGGUUUGCUAGAAAAUAGUAAUAUAAUGAAUUGUAUUCUCAAUUUCAAUGAGUAUUUUUUUAGUGAGAUGAAAGUUGACGUAUUGUAAUAUUUUUAUCAGAAAGUUUCACCUACAAUUCGAUCAGAAAAAAUGAGUGCAACUACUUGCAGUUCAGUGAAAAAAAGAAAAAUUCCAAUGCAAAAACGUGAAACAAAAGAGCAGAGAGCUGUUACAUUCAGUAAAAGACGAACGGGUCUGUUUAACAAAGCAGCAGAAUUGUGUGUUCUCUGCAAUGCUCAGGUUGUAAUUUUGGUUUCUGCUCCUUUGGCCAAAGAAAAGUUUUAUACUUUUGCACACCCUAACAUCAAUCUUCUUCUCGACACAUUCCUCAAUAACCAUGUCUCUCAUCCCAUCAACAAUUACAAUAAUCUUUCUACUUCUUCCUCUUAUCAAAAUAUGGAGCAAUUAACUCCUAACAAUAAUGUGUCCAAGACCAAGAAGAGAAAGAGAGAGUCGGAAGAGUUUUGGUGGGAAAAUGAAGACUUUGAUGUUUACCAAACACCUGAAGAGGUGACAUCAAUCAUCGAGAAGUUAGAAAAGGUGAGAGAAAAUGUGGCGCUCAAACUUCAAAAAUUAUCAACUUCUAAUAAUCAAGAUGUUAGUAGUAGUCAUCAUCAAAACUAUCAUCUUCGGUGCUUUGCUGAAGAUAUGAUGAACAUUAAUAAUGAGUACAGUAAAGAGAGUGGUGAUCAAAGUCAGUUUAUGACAUCCGUUGUGUUUCAGAAUUUAUCAACUUCUACUUAUCAUGGUAGUUGCAUUGAUCAAAAUAUAGUGGACAUUGAUGGAUUCAAGAACAAUGUUGAUUUUAUGCAAAUGUUGCCUCUAAAAUCUACUAUGCUUACACACAAUACCAACAAUGGCAGCCAAGAUAUUCAGAAUUAUCACAAUGAUAUGGGUACUACAUUUGAAGCCCCAUUAUUCUUCCCUAAUGGCGUCGAAAAUUAUCAAGAUAUUAGUAGUGGUGAUCAUCAAAACUAUCAUCUUGGGUGCUUUGCUGAAAAUAUAAUGAAUAUUAAUCAUGAGUACAAUAAUGAAAGUGGCGAUCAGAGUCAGUUUAUGCCAUCUGUUGUGUUUCAAAAUUUAUCAACUUCUACUUAUCAAGAUGGUUGCAUUGAUCAAAAUAUGGUGAACGUUGAUGGAAACAAGAACAAUGUUGCUUUUAUGCAGAUGUUGCCUCUAAACUCUACUAUGUUUACAGACAAUACCAACAAUGGCACCCAAGAUAUUGAGAACUAUCACUAUGAUAUGGGUACUACAUUUGAACCCCCAUUAUUUUUCUCUAAUGGCAUCGAGAGAUGUGCUACGUCUCUUUGUAUUGGUGAUCAAAAUUUUAGUUGGAUGAAUGAUAAGAUCACUACUUCAUACAGUCAAAAUGAACAAUUUUCACCGUCCUUCUCCUCCAAUGACUUGGAUCACCAUAUCAAUACUUCUUUUGAAUGGGAGUUCAGAGAUGAGAAUCCUUCAUUUCUUCAAGAUAAUGCUACUGGAUUAGUUCCACUAUUUUCUCAUAGUGAUAAAGGCAUAGACAAGCAGAAUUUGUCUGAAUCAAAUUUUAAAGAUAAUAGUUUUUCAGUUACUGGAGGAACAACUUACAAUGACUUGUUUCUUGGUGACGACUAUGUUAAUUCUUCAACAAUGGAGGAUAACACUGAAUUUUUUUCAUUGUUGGAAUCUUUCUUUUCUAGUUGAUUGUAAGCUUUCUCUGUAUUUCCUUUGCAGUGUAAUAAAAUGUUCUUGUGAUCUCUCAAUUUUUUCUUUGGCAUAUUGAUCAUAGUUUAAUUCUUAUCAUCCCCUAAAUGAUGAAGUAAAUGUGUACGGAAUCAAUAUUUAUAGUCAUCAACUAUGAGAUUAAAAAAGAAAAAUUCAUACAAAUAUUUUAUACUCGACCAAUCAACCCCAAACUUAAAAAUCUCCCAAAUUAACUAGAAUUAAGAGUUAAUUUUAUUUUAUAUUUUAAAUUAAAUAGCUCUUAUUAUUUGGGUUCUUAAUUAGUUUUAAGUAUUUAAUUAAUUAUUUUUAAAAAAUAUUUAGAACAAAAUUUUAUUUAUUAUAAUAUAAAGAUAUCAGUAUUUUAUUUUAAAAAAAAGAUAUCAACAUUUAUAAUCACUAUCAUUUUUAAUUUCUUUCUUCAGUUGAAGAAAUAAAAAAAAAAUAAAAUAUAUUUAAAAUUUAUUAUUAAAUAUAUCAAAUCAUAAAAAUAUUUUAUAGAUUAAUGUUCGGGUAAAAAUUAAACCUAACGGACAUAAAUCAAUAUUUUACUAAAUAUAUGAAUUAAGCCAAACGAACAAGAAAUUUAUUUAUUUAAGCUUACCGGUACAGAUUUUAUCGCAUAAUCAUUCUAGGGAUGACUUAAAUUAAAAAUAUAUUUUUAUAAUAAUAUAUAUUUAAUUUAAAUAAUAUAUUUAUAUAUAAUAGAAAUUGAUUUAGUCAGAAAUCUAAUUGGAUAAAAAAUUUAAUUAAAUUUUAAAACCUACUCGGAUUCGAUAAAGUUUUAUAUUUUAAAAUUAUAAAACUAUACCGAAAUCAAAGUUUGUAAAAUUCACUCAAGACUCCAUCUAUUGUUACCCUAAACCAUGUUCAAACCAUAUGAGAAUUGAACUUUGUGAUUCAGCCAGUUGUUUUACUUAUGAUGGUAUAGAGCCAACGGUCCAAAAAGUUGAAAAAAAUUUGGAUGUAUCUUCUUCUAAAAAAAAUCACUUUACCCUACAAGUCCUUGUUUCUUUCUGAAAAUCUAUCUAGGUUUUACCAUGAAAAUGAUGAAGGCUGUGAAGAAGCUCAAAAUCUGGUCAAGAUCCAAGAAGAAAAGGAAGUACCUUGAGGAGCCCCACUACCCUGUUCCGAUGCACCAGUGUUGUUGCUGUUCAUGCUCCUCCGUCCAGUCCUCAGCUCCUCCAUUGCCGCCAUGGCCUGAUCAAUUCUCAUAUCAGAUUCAAGCUGAUGAAACAGAAGGUGUAGAAGAAAGUAAAUUCAUCCAUUCAAAAUUCCCUCAAGUAGACGAAGGUAUAAUCACGAGUAGGUCAAUGUAUCAGCAAUAUAUGGUUCAAAAUCCUGUGUAUGACAUGCCUGAGCCUGUUGUUGAGAUAGUUAGAAGAGAAAGAUCAGGUGGGUACGUUGUUAAUUCGUUAGCAUACAUCUUCUUCCUAUUUUUUUCUAAAAAAAUUCAGCAAUGGUAAAAAUAUGUUUUUGUACCUUUUUUUUUGUAAAAAAGAAUUUUCAGUCUUAAUUUUAUUGUACCUAAUAUUUUAAUGUAAUAUAAAGUUUUAAUAAAAAUUCAUACCUAACUUUGGUUACAUUCACACCAAACGCGGGCAAGAAAGAGCCCCAGCAAACUCCACUCUGUACGCUAUGAGCUUCUCUAUGCAAUUCUUUAUCUCUUUCUGACUAUUUGUUCUCUGUGUAUUGCUCUUGCAAAAAAGCCAAGCAAAUAUGAGAAUCAAUGAACAAAAAAUUAGUCCUCAAAGAUGCUCAGAUUUAAAAAUACGUAAAGCUGGUGAUUCCUAAUUAUAAUGAUUUUGCUUCCAGGGGAAAACCAUUCUAGCAUUCCAAUUAUUUUAUCUAAAUGUCCCGAGUCAUCCACGUCAUCGGGAACAACAAGAACUCCUAUAAAGCAUAUAAUUCUUUUUUAUCUUACUAAUCCCCUCAUCAACAUUGUUGAACUUGUAUUUCUAAAUCUUGAUAAAUCCAAAAGAAGUUGUUCUUGUAAGUGAAGCAAACCGUGGAAACUGUGCUGCAGUUGCUCUGACAUCUGCAAGAAAUCUUCUGUCCCUGAAUUUUUCAAAGUUGAUGUUAUAAACAGUCUUAGCAAAUAUCAUCUUCCCUGUCCCUCCAAUCCCACUUGCUAUGUCAACUCCAUUUGAUCCAUCUUGAGUUCAGGCUUGAUUUCUUCUCCAAGAUCAUCUCUUCCAACUAACUAUUGGGCGAAAUUGAACAGUGCCUCAUGCCUGCCUAGAAAAAAAAACGAAAGUUAUGAUUGCUUCCCAACUGCUGAAAUUUAGUAAAAAUCUCAACAAGCGGAGAACGUGGAGUUUUCCAAAUAACAGUUACAAACUAACCAAUUAAAUAUAAUUUAUUAUAUGCACAUUUAUCCAUGUAAAUUGAUCAUUUAAAUUUGAGAAGUAUGUUAUGGAGCACAUAUAAAAAUAAAAAUCCGUAAAACAGAGGAAACUUAUAUAUUUCACAAUGCUUUCGACAAAAUUAUGGCCGUGUCUCUAAACCCUCUGCUCUAGAAUUAACACAAAGAAAAUGCGUGGUAAUAGUUUGUAGUUUAUUGAGAAGAAAGCUGAGAUCAAGCUUACAUAUGUCACAAAAAUCAUUUCUCCCAAGUCAGCAACCUCCCUCGCAGCACCUCAGCUGUUGUAUUUUGUUCUUUACAUCUUUUAGGUGCUCUUCAUGUGCGGCAAAUGUUUCAGAAAAACUCCCUCGCAGUAUACUUCCUAACAUGUGUUGGAUCUACUUCAUAGAACACUGGCAAGUUAUCUGUUCAGUGGUUCUCCUGUGUUACAUGAUCUUACCUAGUUCAUCAGGAAACCACAGAGAAGAGGCACAAUUUUAGGAGAAGAUAAUUAUUUAUAUUGAGACUCCAAUGGCUUUUUCAAGUUAUUUUAUUCAUAUCCUUUCCUCUUUCAACCCCAUCAUCAUCUUUAGAUGUAUGAAUUCCUGCCCGCAGUAGGGCCCUAUAAAGGUGAUCCGUGAAGCUCCAGCACCUCAUAAACUUAAGAACAUAUACUAAGCAUAUCCAGAACCUGAGGAGGAAGCUCGCUGCUCUGCACUCGCUGCAUCCAUUGAUAACCAAAAAUUUCAGGAGUAUCGAUUGAAAGCAGAUCGGUGAUGAAUAGAUAAUAAAGCACCAAGGAUCGACAUAAAUUUGUUGGCUCAAGCAAAUCAAUUAUGAUAUUUUUUUGGAGGAAAUUUCCACUUUAACAAUCAUGAUAAGCUAGUGAGCUAAAUCACAUCUUACCAUUUGCCUUUAACAAAAUUUCCGUCUUCUUUAAUUACUCCAACAAUGCAUCUUAGCUUUUACAAGGUAUUAAUUAAUAACUACAUGUGAUAAAUACAGAGGACUUUUAGGUAUUCUUGAUUAGACCCUAGAAUUGAUCGGAUCCUAGAAUUCUCUUCUAGGACCAAAUAUCAUUUAAGUACCAUAACUUCAAACUACAUUAAAAAUUAUCCAUAAGAUUUUGAGUUACAUUCAAUAAGAUACUCUAAUCUUUAAUUAGUCUCCCAAUACAUCUAUCACCAUACAAAUACCUGAAGAAAAUCUCAUCCUUGACAAUCUAGCCAUGUAAAUGCUUCCUUUUAUAAAUGCCACCUUAAUUUAAGUUAGCAUAAUAAUUAGAAUGGGCUUUGCAAAACCUCCAGCCCCAUCCUCGUGCAUCAUCAUCUAUGAAAAAACCUAAUUGCCUUACUAAAAGCAAUUCACAAACUAAUUAAUAAUACUUAAUCUAUUAAUACAUCCUUUCUAGGAAAGCUUUCUGAAUAAAAAGAGCAAAUCCAUGUCUCAAGAAUCGAUUCCACAUAUAAAAUAAUUCUAAAAACGUUUUAUGUGUAUUAUCUAUCACUCACAUAUAAAAUUUGCUUCAUAUUCACAUAAACAACUCAGUAGUCAACCAAAUCUAUCAAUUGUCACUUAUAAAAAUUAUGACCUAAAAAUCCCUUCUAGUAUCUGUAUUCCCAUGUACUAGGUUAAUCUUAUAACUAGAGCAAAAAAGAUAAAUCACAUCAGAAUCCCGGAUGUAGAAACCUUACUCAAAUUUGGUCAAUAGGUAAAUGACAUUUGUGUGAGUGUUAUCUCUUGUGCACUAACAUGUAGUAACUGAUUAAGAAACAAAUUAUCCGCUUAGUGAAUCAACUUUGAUGGAGCCAAUCAAACUACAUGCUGGAAUUUUUCGGAUUUUAGACUCUGCCAUCGCUUUCCUCCAAUUAGCAGCAUCUCCCCACCUUUCCCCAACAGCACUUAUAUUUGACAACACCACAUAUCGGCCACAAUGUUUUGGCUGUAAUUCAAGGAGCUUCUUUCCUACUUCAUUUCCCAACUGAACGUCCCCAUGAAUCUUACAAGCACCAGAAAGAGCUCCCAAAACAGAGGCAUCAGGCAGCAAGGGCAUGCAAAGUACAAACUCAACUGCAUCUCUCAGAAGUCCUGCUCGGCCCAAGAGAUCAACAGCACAGCCAUAAUGCUCCAUUAUUGGUACAAACCCAUAUCGACUUGACACUUACAGAAACAACUUCAAACCCAAGUCAACAAGUUUUGCUCGAGCACAAGAUGUAAGAAUAGCAACAAAGGUAACCUCAUUGGAGCAAAAUCCUUGCACUUUCAUCUUCUCAAACAUACAUAGAGCUUGCUUCGCCCUGCCAUGACAGGCAAGUGAAGAAAUCAUUGCAUUCCAAGUGAAAACCUCUUUAACCUCUAUCCGAUUGAAUACUCUUUUUGCAGUCUCCAAACAACCUGCCUUUCCAUACAAAUCUACCAACGCAGCCCCCACGACAGCGCUCAAACUGAACCCAUUCUUAACAACAUAUCCAUGUAUCUGCUUCCUUUGAUAAAGACCAGUUCCAUCUAAAUUAGCACAAGAAGACAGCACAGUAACAAAUGCAGCCUCAUUAGACUUUACGGAACCGCGGACCACAUCCUCGUGAACCAUAAUCUUUGCAAAAAGUGGCAAUGCAUCAACAAAGCGUCCAUUCAUCACGAACCCAUUAAUAACACUCGUCCAUGAAACCACGUCCUUCCCGGGCAUGCUCUGGAAAUACAGAAAAGCAGAACCCAUGUCUCCAUUCCUCCCAAAAGCGUCAAGUAAAGCAUUACACGCUACAAUACAUGGAUGAGGAAUUUCCACAAACAUCUUACGUGCAGUGCGUAUGUCACACACUUCGGCGUCCACACUCACGGAUGAAGUUUGCACAAAUGGGUCGCAUAAAACACCCCAUUUGAGAGCAUGAGCAUGGAGAAUUGGGCCAGAUGAGGGAGAGCAAGAAGCAGCUUUGAUUAGAGACGGGAAAGUGAGAUGGUUUGGUGAAAGUCCGUGUGCAAUCAUGCGGGUGAAAAGUAGUAAAGAAGUACAAGAGAGUCCCGUAGAGAGAUAAGAUCAAAUGAGAGUGUUGUAAAUGAGAACGGUGUUCCAUGAAGAAGUGUGGUUGAGGAGAGAGCCGCGGGUGAUAAGAAGGGAAUGAAUCUGUUUGAUCUGGUUGGGACAGUGGAUGAAAUGCUGGAGAAGAAGCUCGGGACUUGAAAAUCCAGAAAACCCACCUGUUACCAGAAGCUUUAAAAUCAAAACUUGAUUAGAUGCCCGUUCUUGUCCACCAUCUGCCCAGUUCAUAUAUUAUUAUUUUUGGAUCAAAUUAACAUUUUUUUUUUCUCAUGCUUCUUUCAAUUCAUAUAUGUAUAUAUAUAUAUAUAUAAAUUUAAUUCCAACAAAAAAUGAAGAAAAUUCUUUUAUUUUACUAUUUAUUUUCUGUGUUUUAAAAUAAUAAUAAUUAUUAAAUUUUAUUAAACUUAUCGAGAAAGAUUGAUUGAUUUUAUUUAAUCUAUACAAUCAUAUUAUUAAUAAAUUAAAAAAAGUUCGAUUACAACUGUUUUUUAAUCUUUCUAAGUUUUCUAACGAAAAAUAAAUUCUACGCAGAGAAAAUCUUUUCUCGACAUAGGUUAAAUUUUUAUUCAAUUUUUAACACUGUGUAUAUUUAUUAAAAUCGAGUCUAAAAUAAUUAUGAACUCAACUUGAAAAAAAUGCUUUGACAUUAAUAAAAUGGAGAACAAAAUCAAUAUUUUAAACUAUAAAAUUUACAUAUUAAAAACUAGAAAAUAACCAACCCUAUCACCUAAAGAAAAGAAAGUGACAAUCACAAAUUACCAUAUUCAAUUCAUUUAUAAUAAUCAUAAAUUACCCUCUUCGAAAAUUCUUAUAUUUCACUUCUGUUCUUCUAUCUUCAUUUCUCCACUAAUUUUCCGUAAAGAUUAAUUUGCAAUCGUUAUGCUUGCAACAUCAUUAUGAAAAUUUUCUGCCAUUGUGCAAUAUUCUUGCAGUCAAUCGCUUCAGACUAUUCUAGUGCUUGAUCCGAUCAUCUUUUAUGCAGAAAUAAUAUAAUAAUACCCCACUCAUUUGGACUGUUGUUUGGAGAUUAUAAGCUUUAGAUAGCAUUUUUAUUAAGUGUUUUAAUUCAAUAAUUAAAACACUAAUUGAACAAAAACUCAAAGUUCUACAUAAGAAAAAAGAUUGACAGUCAAACUAUUACCAUAACAUUUGUAAGACACAUUUUUUGUGUAAAACUUUGAACCUUACAGGACUAAGGCAAAGUACAAGUUAAUCUAUUGUUGGUUCUGGGUGCUAAUAUAUGAAUGUUCCUGUAUAAGCCUAUGGGGAGUAAGUCGUGCAAGAGGUCAAAAGAAAGGGAACAUACGAUAUGGGAUUUUGUCUGUAACAGGAUUCUAGUGGACAUAUUGGAGCUGCUAGCGGUAGCUGCUGUUUUCCUCACAUGGUUUUAUGGAUCCUGUUUAUGUGGAGUAUGAUAUUUAGUGAAAAAUAUUUUAUCAAGAAAGAGUGAGACUUACCUUAUAAAGACUUUGGGUAUUACAGUUUUAUUGUUUUGUUUCGAUAAGAGAGUGCUUAGUGCUGGUUCAAGUUUUUGGUAAAGACUGAAAACUAGUCAGCUCCACAUUCCUUGCAUGAUAUUAAUCAAGGUCGAUAUGCUUUUCAUUCUCAAGUUGUUUUUCUUUUUUGUUCAUUUUAAUUUUUUUUACGAAUGUGUUAGAUAAGAUGGUAUGGUUAGCUUCUGUAUAUAAGGAAUAUAUACCUUUCAUCUGUUUUGAUUUUCACUACAUGAAUGUUUGAUUUGUGAGAAGCUUCUCCUGAAAGAGACUAUUGAAACAGUUAGCCUCUUUGGUUUUACCUUAUUUCAGCUUAUUCUUCUAUUGAUCUGAAUACAUGUUUAACCUGUUUUGUUAUGUUUUAUUUUUCUUUUCGAGAUUUUUCAUAAUUUUUUAUGUGAUUGUUCCUCUCUGAGUAAUCUAUUUUAUUAAAUAUUAGUGCUAUUUAAUUUAUUAUUUUAAAUUUAAUUUUUAGGAAAAAUAAAUAAUAAUUUUUAAAUAUAUAUUUUGUUUUGGUUUAAUUUUAAAAAUAAUAUUUUUUUUCUAGAAAAUUCUGUAAUUGAACAUCUCUUUUUUAAUUUAAAUUUGUAAUUUUAUGAUUAAUUUAUUAUUUUUAUGAUUUUUUUUUAUAUUUUUAAUUUGUUUUGUUAUACAUUAUUAUUUUGCUUGCAAAUUAUAGUUAUAAUUAUAAUUAAAUUAAUUUAACAGCCCCAACUCAUAACCUGCAAACGACAGCGUUUUGGAAGAGGUUAUUGGCGGGAAGGGGGGAGUGUUUUAAGGGAAUUUAGAAAGGUUUAGGGGCAAAAUUGGAAAUACAGCUGUUCCAACGGUCUUCUUCUCUCUAUAUAUAUAGCACCGACCACUCCCUCUCUCUACUCAGCUUUCAGACAGAUCACAUUCCUUCUUCCCUUUCCUCCCGAUUCUCUCUGUUCAUUGGAAACGUUUCGUUUCCUUCCGAUUUCUCUCAAAUUCAAUCGACUGCUUCGACUUUGCUUCUCCGCUCGCUUCUCUGGUAAGGAUCUCCACUGCCGCUUUCUUUUUUUUUUUUCCAUUAAAGAUUCAUAUUGCAAAUCUUCUUCUUUAAUUUUUUCAAAGAACUCUUUAAUGUUUGUGGUUCUCUUAAUAUUCGUGAUUCUUUUACGAGAUAAAACAUAAAAUCAUGUCCUCUGAGUCAGAUCUGGAAUCCACCGUAACACUCAUUUAGGGAAAAGUCACCAAAAUCUAAGAUCCGUGUAAUCCUUUUUCGGUAACAAACGACCAAUAAAAAAUAUUAAAAAAGAAACCCAGAAAAUCCUCUGUGAAAAUAAAAAAACGAAAAGAGAUCAAAACCCUAGAUCUUGAAAUAAGACUGAUUACUUCUCCCUGGCUUUUCUGUAAUUAGGUUGUGUGGAGUUUUGCAUUUGAGAAUCUUGAAAUGAAUCUGUAAAAUGCAAUCUUUAUAAUGUUAUUAAGGUUUGAGCUCACCAUUACAACGUAAUGGCCUCAAACCCCAUGGAGGAGUCCUAAUCAUAAUGUAUCUUUGUUUUUUAACUGGGUACAAAUUGCAAUGGUGGUGGUUCUGCUAUUUGGGGUUUGAGGACUAAUUAUAAUGUAUAUAAUUUUCAUUUAGUUUGAGGACAAACUACAAUUGUAUAAUGGAUUGUAUUAUUACGGGUUCUCUGCGUUAUUAUGUUUGUUAUUUCAAUUAUUCGGGGCUUAUAGUUGAAAUUCCAAUGUAUAUUAUUUUUAUUGGAUGAGAAGCAUAUUGGGUUCUAUUAUUAUUAUAUAUAUUAUAUAUUUUUUCAAUUAAUUGUACUCAAAUUAUGGGUUUUGGAUCUUGUGGUUGUAUUCCAUAUUACAAUAUAUAUGUAAUAUUUGUAGGUGUCAAGUCUGUUUAUAGUUGAAAUUCCAAUGUAUAUUAUUUUUAUUGGAUGAGAAGCCUAUUGGGUUCUAUUAUUAUUAUAUAUAUUAUAUAUUUUUUCAAUUAGUUGUACUCAAAUUAUGGGUUUUGGAUCUUGUGGUUGUAUUCCAUAUUACAAUAUGUAUGUAAUAUUUGUAGGCGUCAAGUCUGUUUAUUUAUCUUAUAAUAUUGUUAUUAAGUUUUGUAAUAUUUUUUACAGGUUGUAUAUAAUAUUUAUAAGUUUUGAGCCUAUUGGAUUGUAUUUUUAUUAUUUUCGUCAUGAUAUUACCCACAUUAUUGUAUUUGGAUAAUGGAUUUCGGAUCAUUUGGUUGUAUUUCAUAUUAUAAUAUAUAUGUAAUAUUCAUAGGUAUCAAGCCUAUUGAAUUGUUUUAAUAUUGUUACGAAGUUUUGUUAUAUUUUUUAUAGGUUGUAUGUAAUAUUUAUAAGCUUUGAGCCUAUUGGAUUGUAUUUUUAUUAUUUUCGUCAUGAUAUUACCCACAUUAUUGUAUUUGAAUAAUGGAUUUCGGAUCAUUUGGUUGUAUUCCAUAUUACAAUAUAUAUGUAAUAUUCGUAGGUAUCAAGCCUAUUGAAUUGUUUUAAUAUUGUUACGAAGUUUUGUUAUAUUUUUUACGGGUUGUAUGUAAUAGUUAUAAAUUUCGAGCCUAUUUCGUUGUAAUAUUAUUAUUAUCACGAUGAUAUUACCCACAUUAUUGUAUUAGAAUAAUAGAUUUUGGAUCAUUUGGUUGUAUUCCAUAUUACAAUAUAUAUGUAAUAUUCAUAGGUAUCAAGCCUAUUGAAUUGUUUUAAUAUUGUUACGAAAUUUUGUUAUAUUUUUUACGGGUUGUAUGUAAUAGUUAUAAGUUUCGAGCCUAUUUCGUUUGUAAUAUUAUUAUUAUCACGAUGAUAUGACACACAAUAUUGUUUUUGAAUUAUGGGUUUCAAAUAUUUUAAUUUCAUUCAACAAUAUAAUGAAUGUAACGAAGCCCAUUGACUUGUAUUUUUUUUCUUAGAUAAUUAAACUAUAUUCUUAUUAUUAUGAAGUUUAUUAACUUUUAUGGGUUUUAUAAGUUGCUAAAUUCAGUUGUUAUUAUUAAUUUUUUUUUAAAGUUGUGGGCCGAGCACAAAUUAUAAUUUGAUUUUAACCAAGUUUAAGCGUAUGUUAUUUGUAAUAAUAUUUUUGCGAUGAAUUUCAUUAUUGUUAUUAUUUGUGAUGUAUUAUUGAGGGUUGAACCGAAUUGUAAUGCAUAUUAUAUUUUUUUGAUGUGUUUGUAAAAUUUAGUUGCAUCUAAAAUUGUAUUGACCGACAACAAAGUUUAAUCUUCAAAUUUUAACAAGCAAAUAAGAUUAAAUUAAAACAUUAUAAUAUUAAAAAUGUUAUACUAAGACAUUAUCAAUUUACUUCUUCAAUUUGAUGGUAAAUAAGACUUAAAUUGAAAUAAAAAAUAAACUGAAUUUUGUUGGUGAACAUAAUUUCUUAGUUUGUAAAUAAGAAUGUUAAUUAUUUGACAUACAAGUAUAUUUAUACAGUAUAUUGUGCUAUAUCCAGUAAUUAUAAUGUAUAAUAUUUGUGUAAAACAAUUAUCGUGUAUUGGUUUGCUAGAAAAUAGUAAUAUAAUGAAUUGUAUUCUCAAUUACAAUGAGUAUUUUUUUAGUGAGAUGAAAGUUGACGUAUUGUAAUAUUUUUAUCAGAAAGUUUCACCUACAAUUCGAUCAGAAAAAAUGAGUGCAACUACUUGCAGUUCAGUGAAAAAAAGAAAAAUUCCAAUGCAAAAACGUGAAACAAAAGAGCAGAGAGCUGUUACAUUCAGUAAAAGACGAACGGGUCUGUUUAACAAAGCAGCAGAAUUGUGUGUUCUCUGCAAUACUCAGGUUGUAAUUUUGGUUUCUGCUCCUUUGGCCAAAGAAAAGUUUUAUACUUUUGCACACCCUAACAUCAAUCUUCUUCUCGACACAUUCCUCAAUAACCAUGUCUCUCAUCCCAUCAACAAUUACAAUAAUCUUUCUACUUCUUCGUCUCAUCAAACUAUGGAGCAAUUAACUCCUAACAAUAAUGUGUCCAAGACCAAGAAGAGAAAGAGAGAGUCUGAAGAGUUUUGGUGGGAAAAUGAAGACUUUGAUGUUUACCAAACACCUGAAGAGGUGACAUCAAUCAUCGAGAAGUUAGAAAAGGUGAGAGAAAAUGUGGCGCUCAAACUUCAAAAAUUAUCAACUUCUAACAAUCGAGAUGUUAGUAGUAGUCAUCAUCAAAACUAUCAUCUUGAGUGCUUUGCUGAAAAUAUGAUGAACAUUAAUCAUGAGUACAACAAUGAGAGUGGUGAUCAAAGUCAGUUUAUGUCAUCAGUUGUGUUUCAAAAUUUAUCAACUUCUACUUAUCAUGGUAGUUGUAUUGAUCAAAAUAUAGUAGACAUUGAUGGAUACAAGAACUAUGUUGAUUUUAUGCAAAUGUUGCCUCUAAAAUCUACUAUGCUUACACACAAUACCAACAAUGGCAGCCAAGAUAUUGAGAAUUAUCACAAUGAUAUGGGUACUACAUUUGAAGCCCCAUUAUUCUUCUCUAAUGGCGUCGAAAAUUAUCAAGAUAUUAGUAGUGGUGAUCAUCAAAACUAUCAUCUUGGGUGCUUUGCUGAAAAUAUAAUGAAUAUUAAUCAUGAGUACAAUAAUGAAAGUGGCGAUCAGAGUCAGUUUAUGCCAUCUGUUGUGUUUCAAAAUUUAUCAACUUCUACUUAUCAAGAUGGUUGCAUUGAUCAAAAUAUGGUGAACGUUGAUGGAAACAAGAACAAUGUUGCUUUUAUGCAGAUGUUGCCUCUAAACUCUACUAUGUUUACACACAAUACCAACAAUGACACCCAAGAUAUUGAGAACUAUCACUAUGAUAUGGGUACUACAUUUGAACCCCCAUUAUUCUUCUCUAAUGGUGUCGAAAAUUAUCAAGAUAUUAGUAAUGAUCAUCAAAACUAUCAUCUUGGUUGCUUUGCUGAAAAUAUAAUGAAUAUUGAUCAUGAGUACAAUGAUGAGAGUGGUGAUCAAAGUCAGUUUAUGUCAUCUGUUGUGUUUCAAAAUUUAUCAACUUCUGCUUAUCAUGGUGGUUCCAUUGAUCAAAAUAUAGUGAACAUUGAUGGAAACAAGAACAAUGUUGAUUUUAUGCAAAUGUUGCCUCUAAAAUCUACUAUGCUUACACACAAUACCAACAAUGGCAGUCAAGAUAUUGAGAAUUAUCACAAUGAUAUGGGUACUACAUUUGAAGCCCCAUUAUUCUUCUCUAAUGGCAUCGAGAGAUGUGCUACGUCUUUUUGUAUUGGUGAUCAAAAUUUUAGUUGGAUGAAUGAUAAGAUCACUACUUCAUAUAGUCAAAAUGAACAAUUUUCACCGUCCAUCUCCUCCAAUGACUUGGAUCACCAUAUUAAUACUUCUUUUGAAUGGGAGUUCAGAGAUGAGAAUCCUUCAUUUCUUCAAGAUAAUGCUACUGGAUUAGUUCCACUAUUUUCUCAUAGUGAUAAAAGCAUAGACAAGCAGAAUUUGUCUGAAUCAAAUUUUAAAGAUAAUAAUUUUUCAGUUACUGGAGCAACAACUGACAAUGACUUGUUUCUUGGUGACGACUAUAUUAAUUCUUCAACAAUGGAGGAUAACACUGAAUUUUUUUCAUUGUUGGAAUAUUUCUUUUCUAGUUGAUUGUAAGCUUUCUCUGUAUUUCCUUUGCAGUGUAAUAAAAUGUUCUUGUGGUCUCUCAACUUUUUCUUUGGCAUAUUGAUCAUAAUAUAAUUCUUAUCAUCCACUAAAUGAUGAAGUAAAUAUGUACGGAAUCAAUAUUUAUAGUCAUCAACUAUGAGAUUAAAAAAAAAAUUCAUACAAAUAUUUUAUACUAAAACAAUCAACUGCAAACUUAAAAAUCUCCCAAAUUAACUUGAAUUAAGAGUUUAUUUUAUUUUACAUUUUAAAUUAAAUAGAUCUUAUUAUUUGGGUUCUUAAUUAGUUUUAAGUUUUUAAUUAAUUAUUUUUUAAAAAAUAUUUUUUUAAAAAAUUUAUUUAUUAUAAUAUAAUUUCAUAAUAUAAGGAUAUCGGCAUUUUAUUUUUUUAAAAAAAGAAUAUCAGCAUUUAUAAUCACUAUCAUUUUUUAUUUCUUUUUUCAGUUGAGGAAACAAAAAAUAAAUAUUAGAAUAUAUUCAAAAAUUAUUAUUAAAUAUGUCAAACUAUAAAAAUAUUUUAUAAAUUAAAGUUUGAGUGAAAACUAAACCAAGCAAACGUAAGUAAACACUUUACUAAAUAUAUGAAUUAAGCCAAUCGAACAAGCGAUUAAUAUAUUUAAGCUUACCGGUACAGAUUUUAUCCCAUAAUCAUUUUAGGGAUGAUUUAAAUUAAAAAUAUAUUUUUAUAAUAAUAUAUAUUUAAUUAAUAUAUUAUUUAAAUUAGAUCGAUUUAGUUAGAAAUUUAAUUAGACAGAAAAUUUAAUUAAAUUUUAAUACUAUUCAAGUUCGAUGAGAUUUUAGAUUUUAAAAUUAUAAGAUUAUAUCAAAAUCGAAGUUUGUAAAAUUCGCUCAAGACUCCAUCUAUUGUUACCCUAAACCGUGUUCAUACCAUAUUAGAAUUGAACUUUGUGAUUCAGCCGGUUGUUUGAACUUAUGAUGGUAUAGAAUCACACGGGUCCACCACCUUUAACUCAUUGAAGAAAAGCUAGACACAACCUUCAAAAAAUUUGAAAAAAGUUUGGAUGUAUCUUCUUUUAAAAGAAAUCAUUUUACCCUGUAAGUCUUUGUUUCUUUCUAAAAAUCUAUCUGGGUGUUACCAUGAAAAUGAUGAAGGCUGUGAAGAAGCUCAAAUUCUGGUCAAGAUCCAGGAAGAAAAGGAAGUACCUUGAGGAGCCCUUCUACCCUGUUCUGGCGCACCAUUGUUGUUGCCGUUCAUGCUCCUCCGUCCAGCCCUCAGCUCCACCAUGGCCUGGUGAAUUCUCAUAUCAGAUUCAAGCUGAUGAAACAGAAAGUGUAGAAGAAAGUAAAUUAAUCCAUUCAAAAUUACCUCAAGUAGACGAAGUUAUAAUCACGAGUAGGUCAAUGUAUCAGCAAUAUAUGGUUGAAAAUCCUGUGUAUGACAUGCCUGAGCCUGUUGUUGAGAUAGUUAGAAGAGAAAGAUCAGGCGGGUACGUUCUUCAGCUGGGUUCUUGUCUGAUCCGCUGCUUCUGCCCAUGUUUCAGUACAGAAGAAGCUCAGUAAAAAAGUGAUUUUGUUAAAUUGUUAGCUUACUUCUUCCUCUAUUUUCUUCUUUUUUUUUUCUUUAAAUUCAGCAAUAGUAAAAAUAUGUUUCUGGAUAUUUUUUUUUGUAAAAAUGCAUUGUCAGUCUUAACUCUGUUGUAUCUAAUAUUUUAACGUAAUAUAAACUUUUAAUAAAAAUUCAUACCUAACUUUGGUUGCAUUCAUACCAAGCGCGGGCAAGAAAGAGCCCCAGCCAACUCCGCUCUGGACGCUAUGAGCUUCUCUAUGCAAUUCUUUAUCUCUUUCUGACUAUUUGUUCUCUGUGUAUUGCUCCUGCAAAAAAGCCAAGCAAAUAAGAGAAUCAAUGAACAAAAAAGUAGUCCUCAAAGAUGCUCAGAUUUAAAAAUACGUAAAGCCGGUGAUUCCGAGUUAUAACGACCUUGCUUCCAGGGGAAAACCAUUCUAGCAUUCCAAUAAUUUUAUCUAAUUCUUCCGAGUCAUCCAAAUCAUCAGGAACAACAAGACUCCUAUAAAGCAUAUAAUUCUUUUGAUCUUACUAAUCCCCUCAUCAACAUUGUUCAACUUGUAUUUUUAAAUCUUGAUAAAUGACCUUGGUGUGAUGUUAUCUGGUGCACAAACAUGUAGUAACUGAUUAAUAGACAAAUUAUCCGCUUAGUGAAUCAACUUUGAUGUAGCCAAUCAAACUAUAUGCCGGAAAUUUUCUGAUUUUAGACUCUGCCAUCACUUUCCUCCAAUUAGCAGCAUCUCCCCACCUUUCCCCAACAGCACUUCUAUUUGACAACACCACAUAUCGGCCACAAUGUUUUGGCUGUAAUUCAAGGACCUUCUUUCCUACCAUUUUCCAACUGAACCUCCCCAUGAAUCUUACAAGCACCAAAAAGAGCCCCUAAAACAGAGGCAUCAGGCAUGAAGGGCAUGCUAAGUGCAAACCCAACUGCAUCUCUCAGAAUUCCUGCUCUGUCCAAUAGAUCAACAACACAACCAUAAUGCUCCAUUAUUGGUACAACCCAAUAUCGACUUGACAUUGACGGAAACAACUUCAAACCCAAGUCAACAAGUUUAGCUCGAGCACAAGCAGUAAGAAUAGCAACAAAGGUAACCUCAUUGGGGCAAAAUCCUUGCGCUUUCAUCUUCUCAAACAUAUAUAGAGCUUGCUUCCCCCUACCAUUGCAGUCCAAGUGAAAACCUCUUUAACCUCUAUCCGAUUUAAUACUCUUAUUGCAGUCUCCAAACAACCUGCCUUUCCAUACAAAUCUACCAACGCAGCCCCCACGACAGCGCUCAAACAUAUCCAUGUAUCUGCUUCCCUUGAUAAAGACCAGUUCCAUCUAAAUUAGCACAAGAAGACAGCACGGUAACAAAUGCAGCCUCAUUAGGCUUCACGGAACCGCGGACCACAUCCUCGUGAACCACCAUCUUUGCCAAAAGUGGCAAUGCAUCAACAAAGCGUCCAUUCAUCACGAACCCAUUAAUAACACUCGUCCAUGAAACCACGUCCUUCUCAUUAAACACCACAAUACAUGGAUGGGGAAUUUCCACAAACAUCUUACGUGCAUUGAGUAUGUCACACACUUCGGCAACUCCACCCUCACGCAUGAAGUUUGCACAUAUGGGUCGCAUAAAACACCCCAUUUGAGAGCCUGAGCAUGGAGAAUUGAGCCAUAUGAGGGAGAGCAAGAAGCAGCUUUGAUUAGAGAUGGGAAAGUGAGAUGGUUUGGUGAAAGUCCAUGCGCAAUCAUGCGGGUGAAAAGUAGUAAAGAAGUACGAGAGAGUCCCGUAGAGAGAUAAGAUCAAAUGAGAGUGUUGUAAAUGAGAACGGUGUUCCAUGAAGAAGUGUGGUUGAGGAGAGAGCCGCGGGUGAUAAGAAGGGAAUGAAUCUGUUUGAUCUGGUUGGGACAGUGGAUGAAAUGCUGGAGAAGAAGCUCUGGACUUGAAUAUCCAGAAAACCCACCUGUUACCAGAAGCUUUAAAAUCAAAACUUGAUUACAUGCCUGUUCUUGUCCACCAUCUGCCCAGUUCAUAUAUUAUUAGCAUUCUUGUUCAUAUUUGUUAAUUACAAGAUUUUUGGAUCAAAUUAACAUUUUCUCAUGCUUCUUUCAAUUCAUAUAUAUAUAUAUAUAAAUUUAAUUCCAACCAAAAAUGAAGAAAAUUCUUUUAGUUUACAACUAUUUUUCAAUCUUUAUAGGUUUUCUAACAAAAAACAAAUCCUACGUUUAGAAUUUUUAUUUAGUUUUUAACACUGUGUAUAUUCAUUAAAAUCGAGUCUAAAAGAAUUAUGAACUCAUCUUGAAAAAAAACUUUAACAUUAACAAGAUCGAGAACAAAAUUAAUAUUUUAAGUUAUAAAACUUACACAUUAAAAACUAGAAAACAACCAACCCUAACACCCAAAGAAAAGAAAGCGAUAAAAGUAUCCAUGAAGGUUCGGCUCAUUGACAAUCACAAAUUACCAUCUUCAAUUUUUGACAAUAAUCAUAAAUUACCCUUUUCGAAAAUUCUUAUAUUUCAUUUCGGUCCUUCUAUCUUCAUUUCUCCGCUAAUUUUCUAUAAUGAUUAAUUUGCAAUCGUUAUGCUUGCAACAUCAUUGUGAAAAUUGUCUACCACUGUGCAAUAUGCUUGCAGUCAAUUGCUUCAGACUUUUGGAGUAUUUGACUCGAUCAUCUUAUAUGCAUAAAUAAUAUAGUAAUACCCCACUCAUUUAGAGUGUUAUCUUGAGGUUGUAGGUUUUAGAGAGACUUUUUAAAAAGCAUGAGAUUGUCAAAUCUUACUAAUUGAACACUAGCUCAGAGUUCUACAACAAAGAAAAAAAAAAAUUGACAGCCAAACUAUUACCAUAACCUUCGUAAAAUACAUUUUUGUGUAAAACUUUGAGCUUCACAAGACUAGGGCAAAGAACAAGUUCAUCUAUUGUUAGUUCCGGGCUAUAAUAUAUGAAUGUUCAUGCAUAAGCCUAUGGGAAGUAAGUCAUGCAAGAGGUCAGAAGAAAGGGAACAUACAAUAUGGGAUUUUGUCGGUAGCAAGAUUCUAGUGAACAGAUUGGAGCUGCUAGCGGUAGCUGCUGUUUUACUCAUACGACUUUAUGUAUCUUGUUUAGGUGGAGUAUGGUAUUUAGUGAAAAAUAUUUCAUCAGGAAAGAAUGAGACUUGCCUUAUAAAGACUUUGGGUAUUGCAGUUUUACUGUUUUGUUUCGGCAAUGGAGUGCUUAGUGCUGGUUCAAGUUUUGGGUAAAGACUGAAAACUAGUCAGCUCCACCUUCCUUGCAUGAUAUUAAUCAAGGGCUAUAUGCUCUUCCAUCUCAAGUUGUUUUUCUUUUUUGUUCCUUUUAUUUUUUCUACGAAUGAGCUGGAUGAAAUAGUACGGUUGGCUUCUAUAUAUAAAUAAUAUAUACCUUUAAUCUCUUUUGAUUUUCGGUACAUGAAUAUAUGACUUGUGAACAGCUUCUCCUGAAGGAAAUUAUUGAAGCAGGUAGUCUCUUUUAUUUUAUCUUAUUUCAACUUAUUCUUCUAUUGAUCCGAAUACAUAUUUAAGUUAUUUUGUUUUUCUUUUCGAGAUUUUCUAUAGUUUUUUAUGUGAUUAUUCCUUACUGAGUAUCCUAUUAUGGUAUAGAUUGGAAUAUAAUAAGUAAUAAUUUUUCAUUACUGCUAUCAAUGAACAUUAAUUAGAUAAGUUGUAAGGGAAUAUAUAUACUAUUCUAUUUUUUCUAUUCUGAGUUUGAUUUAUUAAGGGGAGUUUAGGAAUCAGAAUCCUAAAUUCAUUAGAUCAAUGUGGAAGAGUCAUUAAGUUAACAUUUUGAGACAAUAAAAUAUUUUUAUUAAAUAUUAGUGCAAUUUAAUUUGUUGUUUUAAAUUUAAUUUAUUAGUAUUAUUUGUGAUAUUGUUUCAAAAUUAUUUUAAAAAAAAUCAUGUCUUCAUAUAAUAUUUAACCUUCACCUUGAAAAAAUUAAAAUAAUGAUAUAUUUAAUUAACUAAUUUGAUAAUAUACAUUCAAUUUAAUAUUUAUUCGUAUAGUCGUAUAAUUUAAUAAAUUAUUAAAUAUAAAGAUAAAGAUAUAAGAUAUUUAUUAUUAAGUAUACUUUUAUAAUAGCUUUAGUUUCAAAGUUUGAUUUAAUAGUUAAAUUUAAUUUUUAGGAAAAAUAAAUAAUAAUUUUUAAGUAUAUAUUUUAUGAUUUUUUUGGUAUUUUUAAUUUGUUUGUUAUACAUUAUUAUUUUGCUUGCAAAUUAUAGUUAUAAUUAUAAUAUAAUUAAAUUAAUUUAAUAGCCCAGUUUUUUCCAACCCAUAACCUACAAACGACAGCGUUUUGGAAGAGGUUAUUGGCGGGAAGGGGGAGGGUUUAAAGGGAAUUUAGAAAGGUUUAGGGGCAAAAUUGGAAAUACAGCUGUUCCCAACGGUCUUCUUCUCUCUAUAUAUAUUGCACCGACCACUCCAUUCUUCUCUACUCAGCUUUCAGACAGAUCACAUUCCUUCUUCCCUUUCCUCCCGAUUCUCUCUGUUCAUUGGAAGCGUUUCGUUUCCUUCCGAUUUCUCUCAAAUUCAAUCGACUGCUUCGACUUUGCUUCUCCGCUCGCUUCUCUGGUAAGGAUCUCCACUGCCGCUUUUUUUUUUUUUUUCCAUUAAAGAUUCAUAUUGCAAAUUUUCUUCUUUAAUUUUGUCAAAAAAACUCUUUAAUAUUUGUGGUUCUUUUAAUAUUCGUGAUUCUUUUACGAGAUAAUACAUAAAAUCAUAUUCUCUGAGUCAGAUCUGGAAACCACCGUAGCACUCAUUUAGGGAAAAGUCACCAAAAUCUAAGAUCCGUGUAAUCCUUUUUCGGUAACAAACGAGAUUUAGCGUUUUGCUUAUGACCAAUAAAAGAUACUGGAAAAGAAACCCAGAAAAUCCUCCAUGAAAAUAAAAAAACGAAAAGAGAUCAAAACCCUAGAUCUGGAAAUAACACUGAUUACUUCUCCCUGGCUUUUCUGUAAUUAGGUUGUGUGGAGUUUUGCAUUUGAGAAUCUUGAAAUGAAUCUGUAAAAUGCAAUCUUUAUAAUGUUAUUAAGGUUUGAGCUCACCAUUACAACGUAAUGGCCUCAAACCCCAUGGAGGAGUCCUAAUCAUAAUGUAUCUUUGUUUUUUAACUGGGUACAAAUUGCAAUGGUGGUGGUUCUGCUAUUUGGGGUUUGAGGACUAAUUAUAAUGUAUAUAAUUUUCAUUUAGUUUGAGGACAAACUACAAUUGUAUAAUGGAUUGUAUUAUUACGGGUUCUCUGCGUUAUUAUGUUUGUUAUUUCAAUUAUUCGGGGCUUAUAGUUGAAAUUCCAAUGUAUAUUAUUUUUAUUGGAUGAGAAGCAUAUUGGGUUCUAUUAUUAUUAUAUAUAUUAUAUAUUUUUUCAAUUAAUUGUACUCAAAUUAUGGGUUUUGGAUCUUGUGGUUGUAUUCCAUAUUACAAUAUAUAUGUAAUAUUUGUAGGUGUCAAGUCUGUUUAUAGUUGAAAUUCCAAUGUAUAUUAUUUUUAUUGGAUGAGAAGCCUAUUGGGUUCUAUUAUUAUUAUAUAUAUUAUAUAUUAGUUGUACUCAAAUUAUGGGUUUUGGAUCUUGUGGUUGUAUUCCAUAUUACAAUCUGUAUGUAAUAUUUGUAGGCGUCAAGUCUGUUUAUUUAUCUUCUAAUAUUGUUAUUAAGUUUUGUUAUACUUUUUACAGGUUGUAUAUAAUAUUUAUAAGUUUUGAGCCUAUAGGAUUGUAUUUUUAUUAUUUUCGUCAUGAUAUUACCCACAUUAUUGUAUUUGAAUAAUGGAUUUCAGAUCAUUUGGUUGUAUUCCGUAUUACAAUAUAUAUGUAAUAUUCAUAGGUAUCAAGCCUAUUGAAUUGUUUUAAUAUUGUUACGAAGUUUUGUUAUAUUUUUUACUGGUUGUAUGUAAUAGUUAUAAAGUUCGAGUUUAUUGCGUUGUAAUAUUAUUAUUAUCAUGAUGAUACGACACACAAUAUUGUAUUUGAAUUAUGAGUUUCGGAUCAUUUGGUUGUAUUCCAUAUUACAAUAUGUAUGUAAUAUUCAUAGACAUCAAGCCUAUUGAAUUGUUUUAAUAUUGUUAUGAAGUUUUGUUAUAUUUUUUACGGAUUGUAUAUAAUAUUUAUAAGCUUUGAGUCUAUUGGGUUGUAUUAUUAUUAUUAUCAUCCUAAUAUUACAUACAUUAGUGUAUUUGAAUUAUAGAUUUCAGAUCAUUUGGUUGUAUUCAAUAUUACAAUAUACAUGUAAUAUUCAUAGGUAUCAAGCCUAUUGAAUUAUUUUAAUAUUGUUACGAAGUUUUGUUAUAUUUUUUACGGAUUGUAUGUAAUAGUUAUAAGUUUCGAGCCUAUUUCGUUGUAAUAUUAUUAUUAUCACGAUGAUA
rnacentral:lncRNA from 1 species